rnacentral:lncRNA from 1 species
CUCAGUGUUCGGGAUGGGUGGUCUAGGGAAGACAACUCUCGUGACCUAUGUGUACAAUAUCAUCAAAGCUUCCUUUGAUACUUGUGCCUGGGUUGCUGUAUCUCAAAGUUAUGAGACUCGUGAUUUGCUUAGACAGAUCUUAAAAGAGUUUUGUAGGGAAGAUAGUGAAAAAAGAGAAGUACCUAACAACAUUGAUACCAUGGAUUAUAGAAGCUUGGUUGAGACUAUCCGCACUUACUUGCAGUGUAAAAAGUAUGUACUCAUUCUGGAUGAUGUUUGGAGUACUGAUGUACUGGACAAUAUAAAGAAUGCACUUCUGAAUAGUAAUUGCAAGAGUAGAAUAGUUCUCACAACAAGGAAUCAUGAAGUAGCACUAUUGGCUAACGAGCACCGUAUAUUUGAGCUAAAGCCACUAGAGGUGGAUCAUUCGUGGUAUCUAUUUUGUAAAAACGCAUUUUGGAAAUGUGCAAACAAGAUUUGCCCACCGCCUUUAGAACAAUGUGCUAAAAAAAUCGUCGAGAAGUGCAGUGGCUUGCCCCUUGCUAUCGUAUCUAUAGCCCGUCUCUUAUCAUUUCGAGAACAAACCGGUUCUGAAUGGGAGAAGGUUUACAAAGAUCUUGAGUGGUAUCUAACUAACAACGAAUCAAAACUCCAUGAAAAAGUACAUGACAUUUUGAAACUUAGUUUGGAGGAUCUUCCCCAUUACCUUCGAAAUUGCUUCUUAUAUUGUUCUUGUUUUCCCGAAGAUUAUCAAAUUGAAAGUGACAGGCUCAUAAAGCUUUGGGUGGCUGAAGGGUUCAUUGAAGAAAGAGAGAGAACGAUGGAGGAAGUGGCCGAGGACUACCUUAACGAACUUGUUAAUCGGUGUCUACUACAAGUGGCAUAUAGGGAUGAAGUCGGUAGAGUUUGUGCAUGUCGAAUGCAUGACAUCAUUCGAGUCCUCGCUCUUUUCGAGUCAAAGGAGUUAAGUUUCUGCAUAGUUUAUGAGCAUUCAAGGACAAUAUUGCAAAGAUACAAAGCACGCCGCUUGUCAAUCCUAAGCAGUAUAACUAAUUAUUGUACUGAAGACAAAUCUCAUUUGCGUUCAGUACUUGUUUUCAACAAUUCCAUGAGCUAUGAAUUACUGAAGUCGGUCUUAAGAUCAUCAAAAUUUUUACGUGUCUUGGAACUACAAGGAGCGCCAAUUGAGAAACUACCGAGUGAGAUCUGUAACCUAUUCAACCUGCAUUAUCUUGGCUUGAGAGCAACAAAAAUUAAGGAACUUCCAAGAUCAAUCGGGAAGCUACAAAAUCUGCAAAUAUUAGAUACACGUGAAAGUGAAAUACAAAAGCUGCCAAAGGAAAUAACAGAGCUCCAAAAGUUGAAACACCUAGUUUUAUCAGAAUAUAUUGGUCGGAGCAUCGAGGGACCCUUGGGAAUAAGGCGCCUGAAGGGCUUGCAGACUUUAAUAUGUAUUAAAGCAACUACGGAGAAAAACUGAGCUUCUGAUUGAGGCUGAGGAAAAGGUAAAAGAGGCGCGACGGCACAUCUUAGCAGCCCAGAGUCGACAGAGGAGCUAUGCUGAUACCCGGAGACGAGACUUGGAGUUCCAGGUGGGAGAUCAUGUUUUUCUUAAAGUCUCGCCAUCCAGAGGGAUUCGCCGAUUUGGAGUACGUGGAAAGCUUAGUCCACGUUUUGUAGGCCCUUUCGAGGUAUUGGAGCGAGUCGGGCCUGUUGCUUACAGGAUUGCUCUACCACCACGACUAGCUGGCAUUCAUGAUGUGUUCCACGUCUCGGCUUUGAGGAAAUACGUGUUCGACCCCUCCCACGUGAUCGACUUCACUCCGCUUGAGAUUGGCGAGGACCUGAGCUACGAGGAGCGACCGGUGCGGAUUCUGGCUCGUGAGACGAGGGAAUUGCGCAACCGGGUCAUACCCUUUGUAAAGGUGCAGUGGAGUAAUCACGAGGAGCGGGAGGCGACUUGGGAGCCUGAGACGGUGAUGAGGGAAGCCUAUCCUAUUUGUUUGAUGCCUGAGCAGAGGUACGUUUCAGUUUCGCGGACGAAACUUUUUGUAGAGGGGAGGAUGUGAGAACCCUGGUGUCUGGCUGUGGGGGCUUGUCGACAGCUCUGGAGAGUGUCGGGACAAGUCCGAGUGCGUUGCAUCAAAUAGACGCAAAACGGACUCCGUCGACGUCACGCGGGGCAGCAUUCAGCGAAGGAAUCUGCAAAACAGCAGAUUUUCCUGCUGAAGUCUCCUCAAAUCCUCCUCGAGCUUCUGCUUCACACUGUUGGGAAAGAAAUACCAAACAGCAUUCCACAGAACUCGUCCCAAUCAGCUGCGCCGCACUAGCCCCUGUCUCGCCUCGUCCUCCGCCACCAGUCAUGAGCAUCCCUGCUAGACAGCUUCUCCAGAGGUACCUGCUCCUCCUCUGGAACGAACAGAUCCCUCGAAUAACUUUCUCAUCGCACUGCCAUCCUCUACAAUCCAGGCCUCAGUGCUCUCGCAUCGAAGAUCGGUGGAUCAAAUCGGCGAAAACGAGCUAACCUCUCCGUCCACCGCUCCUGCUCGGCCUCAGUCAACCGUACUGGCUACGCAGCGCGCAACUGGCGUACUGGAACUGUGCUGAUGGAGAACUGCCGCAGCUGGUGCUGCACUGAGUAAUCGGGGUGGAACUGGCGACUCUGGUGCCCUCGGUACACAACUCGGUGGCUGAGCUAUCCUCUCACACACUCUGCAAUAGUCCCGCCUGUCUCGUCACCUCCGUCAGGCAGCUAACUGUGCACUCAGAAUCAGGGGGUGCGCUAGUCUCUGGUCGCGCACUCGGCUCCACAACAGGGGGUCACCUCGCCCCAGUCUGUCACCCUGCUCUGUCGGUACUCUGCUCCAUCUGCUCAGACUCUCAGAAGGUCCAGCAUGAUCCCGCGCCAACUGGCGCGCCUCCCGCACGACGGUCGACCUCGGCGACAAUACAUAGCUGAAAGAACAAAUCGGGGUCAGAUACAACGCAACAUUCGACCCAAUCAACGAAAGUCUAGAAGGCGGGUCCCUGUUUUCCUCCAAAAUUAUGUCUGUCUGCAGCAACAUAAUUUCUCAGGCCAAAACAGAAAUCCUUCAGUCACUCACUCUCUCAAGAGGAGUUAAAACAAAUAAUCAUUGACUUUCGCAAUAUAUUACGCCUCUACGUCUUGCUUCCUAAGGUUUGCCAAACUUAGGUUUCCUAGGUCCCACGACACUACAGCAAAGCUCUGAUACCAACUUAAUCUGUUACGCCGCCGAUUACACGUUCCCCGGGCACGCCGACAGAUCCGCGUAUACAAAGAAAUUUUUCCUGUUACGAAGCAUAGCUGUACCUGUAAAUCAAACACUAUACGAACAGUAGUAGAGAGCUGCUAGAGAAAACUGAAGCUAAAUAAAACAGAGUUUCUUAUAAUAGUUCGAUCCAAAAUACAGAGCUACUCGCACUGGCGAGUUAAGUCAACUAUGUACAUAAACUCGAAACAAAACAUCUACCUGCAGUGAGGCACCUCUAGCUCAGCACGUCGGUAGGGUCUAACUCGCGACGCCCUUGCCUCGAUCCAGGUCCGCAGACGGUUGCAGCAGCCGAAACCUGUGGCUCUGCAAAAAACAUAGGUAACAACUGGGCGUAGAACUACUGUAAAAAUAAGUAGUCCUCAGUGGGUACCGCCCAAAACAACAUCGUCACCACUAAGUCUACAGAAGGGAGCAAGGAUAGAAGGAAAGCAGGGAAGCAUACUCUACGCUAUCAUCACUACACUAUCAUGCUCUACACUAACAACUGUAGAAAUGUCAAAUCUGACCCAAUCCAACCCGUCCCCGGACUGUGAAUACACCGUCCCUGCCCGUUGCGACUAUCGGGCUCUAUCCACUCUACGGUCCGUGGAGAGCAAGUCCAACUGGCAUGAGCGACACCAACGCAAAAGCACAAGCCUGACUCCGGAGUGGCUCGUGGCGCGUACCCAACGCAGUAGCAGCGUAUCUCUGUCGAGCUCAUCAGGCUCCAACUAGCCAAAGUCAAGUAAUCGACUCAAACUGGUCUAACAACAACAGGUGACGUGCCCUCGCACAAUCUGACGCCAAAAGGCGAUACGGGUCCACCGUCAAACUCUGACGGCACCCAACAGUCGAAACGACCUGAACGACCCUGUAAAAUCCAUCGGCGAACCAGCACGAGUGUAAAUACAUUCUAAACUACCAGGAGUAUCCGUCUCGAAGAGAACUGCGACAGUACAAUUUUCUAACGGCUCCUAGAGCUAAAUCAGGUAGUUAAACUGGUGACAGGUCAAAUCGCAGGUUUUCUCCUAAUUCCAUUUCCAAGUCCAAAUGUAUAAUCUAUUAAUUAUAAAACAUGCCCCAAAAUUCAGAUUUCACAAUCUACAUAUAGUCAUGAAUUUGAGUAACAUAAUUUACCGAAUCAAGAUCUAUACAUGUCGACAAUAGAACUUAGGAGUAAAGCCGAUGUAACCCACCUCGAGUGCAAUUUCCUGGCAGCGAACUCAGCCUCGGCCACCCGCGAUGCUGCUGGCAUUCUCAGGGACCAACCUAGACCGGUCGCCGAGCUAAAGACGACCAUAACAUCACAAAUCAGCCUAAGUUCACAGCAGCUGAAAGAGACCAAGUUCGGCACAAACUAACCUCGUCAAAAUUGCAAGUGAGGGUCCCGUGGAAUCCUCUCGCAGUUCUCGAAUCCAAUGAACAAGUUUCGUCGCGCAUCGACGCUCCUACGCGGAGAACGAGCCGAAUACUAACAUCGACGGUAGAUUCUACGAAAAGCCAACUUAAGCUCAAAUCAACGAUACCCGAAGUAAUCGGAGCAAUUUCGACAAAUGCUCCCUCAACAGCAACAAUCCUCGGCGCGAUGUCCAGGACGCGAAGACGCACCUCGCCCCGGCCUCUCGCAAUGCGGCAACAAACGCUCGCUUGAACGGCUCGCGCGCGCGACGUCGGCGAAUCCGCGGUCAACCGUUGCUCCAACGGCCAAGAGUGAGAGAGAGAGAAAGGAGAUGAUGAAAACUCUCUCUCUCUCAGCUCAAUCCACAGAUCAACUAGGAGAGGGAAGAGCCGGUGACCUGAACGCGGUGAAUUUUAUGAUUAGCCCGGCUCCACCAACUCCCUUUUACCGGUACACGGGCUCUGUCCGGUACAAGAGCAACACCGAGAUAGCUAAAUCUGUGCGGCGUAGCUGUACCUGGUACAAAACUCUUGUACCGUACAGCAACGCAUUCCCCGCGCUGGUUUUACCGUAAGAUAGUCUUGUAGCGGUACAACAAGAGGAAAUCUCGGGGACCCUGUUUUGAGAUUCCUUCGCUGAUGCUGCCUGGCGUCGCACGAGUCGUUUGCUUUCUUAUUUUGACGCCAACGCGCUCGGCUGUCCAACACUGCUGACAGAGCUGUCGACAAGCCCCACAGCAGACAACGCAGGGUUCUCAAUUGUGCGGAAUGUAGAAGCUUUGACUGCGUUGCGGACAUUUGGGAUAACCGAUGUAAGAACCCAUCACAAUAUAGACUUGUGGAACAGUAUCACAAAGAUGAACCAUCUUAGCUAUUUAUUUGUCGAAAGUGAACGUGGGCAAGAAUUACAGCAGUUGGGCACUCUACACCUACCUCUACCAAUUCAAGAAUUACAUCUAAUGGGUAAAUUAGACAAAACCUCACUCCUUAAGCUUGCCGCGUCCUUUGGGUCUCUAACAAACCUAACUAGAUUAACACUCUCAGCGGCAAAAUUGGAUGAAGAUACAUUUCCUUACCUGCAAGCGCUGCCCGUGUUGAUGCUUCUUAAGCUUUUUGGUGCAUAUGAUGGCACAAAGUUGCACUUCCAAGCAACAUCAUUUCCGAAGCUAAAGGAAUUGUUAAUAUCAGAUGCCCCAAAUCUCAGUCAGAUCAAAAUAGAAAGAGGAGCAAUGCAAAGCCUGAAUAAGCUAUCCCUAUUCCGUUGCCUAGAGCUAAAGGCGCUGCCCUACGGCAUCGAGUACCUUACUACGCUUCAGGAUUUACGCAUUACCCAUCUGGCAGAGGAACUUGUUGAGAGGCUUCUAGGAGGAGGAGAAGGCGACUGCUGCACAAGGGUUCGCCACAUCUCGAAUUUUACUCUUGAGACGGCAAGUAUGUCAAAGAAACACUACAAAAUAAUUAGGUUUCAGUGAUUCCACAUCAUGUAGGUGAAUUUGGGCGCCUUUUGCAAAGCACUGACCGAGCUUGAUGCUUUCAUAUUUUCCGCCUUAGAUCUUCUAAAUAAUUCGUGCUUGAGAAAAAUUGAAAAGGCUGAAUAACAGAAAACCUCCUUAUCAAUACCUGCUUUUUCACUUUUUUCGUCUGUCAUUUAAAAAUCUACACUUUGCCCUCUUGAAAAAUGAGAAAUGUUCACUUUGGCUCCUCGCCGUCAGUAUUCCGUUAGGGUUUCGUUUAUAUUCUAUUAUUAUAUAUUUUUUAUACCUAAAAUAUCCUCUCCUCCCUAUCGUCUCCUUCCUCGCCGCCCACGCCGCCUCGCCCUACACCACCGCCUCGCCGUCCUUCGCCGCCUCGCCCUUGCCCACCCCUUUAUCCGCGCCAACACACAUGCUCUUGGGCUCCUUCGCUGUCUCGCCCUCGCCCUCGCACACCUCUCCGUCCAUGCCCAUCCCGAUCUCUUCCCUAUCGUCGCCGAAAUGGAGGAGCGACGUGAGUGCAGGAAGAGCGGGGGAGCAGGUGGAGGAAAAUGGAGUCGGAGCUACGGUUGAGCGAGGCGCGAAGAACGAAAGAGGAAGGGCGACGGCUGAGCAAGGUUGGGGGAGAAGACGAAGAUGGUGAGGGGCAUUUUGGUCAUUUUGUCAUGGUGUACCACCCUGUGAACAUUUCUUAUUUUUCAAUGGGACAAAGUGUAAGUUUUUAAAUGACAGUGGGGGGGAAAGUGAAAAAGCGGGUAUUGACAGGGGGGUUUCUGUAAUUUAGCCAAUUAAAAACAAUGAUUGAUAUGCAGAUGUUAUCUUAUAUGUAUAUUUUAUUUUAGAGAAAACAUCAAAUACCAUUCUUGUGGUUUCACACUUUCAAUUUAGUAUCCCGUGGUUUCAUUUUUCUCUUUUUAUUAUCCCCCACUAAUUUUUUUUUAUUAAAUCACUGACAAAUUUAAAACUAAAAGGUAUUAAAGUGAAUAUUCAGUAAACCUAGGUAGAAUAUCUGAAGUUUUUUGUAUAUAAUUUAAUGAAGUGUUAAAGGAGAAGUUGACGAAAAAAGAAAAAUGAAACCACAGGAUACUAAAUUGAAACACUUUAAAUCAGUACUAAAGUGAGAAAGUGAAAAAACUACAUGGGUGGUAUUUGAAGUUUACCCUUUAUUUUAUUUUCAAUUUAUAUGUAUAUAAAAGUGGACGCAUCAAAUUAGUUGGUGCCUUCGGAAGAACCAUUACCCCCACGGUAUUAUGUAUUUGUAGGAUGCUUUGUGCCCUUAAAACUUUAUUUAUUAAAAAGAUUUUAAAAAAAGUUUGAAGAAAAAGCUUUCGCAUAGUGUGUGGAGGGACAAAAUCAAAUGUCAGUUUAAUUAGCGAUAAUAUCUAAUAUAUUCUUCAAAAUUUUAAAAACAUCUAAUACAACCUUGGUUGACCAAAAUACCUCUAUUGAUUUUCAAAAAUCGCUUCAAAUAUUUCCAAACUCCUAGGAUGUACUAAUGGAAAUUAGAGUUUAGAAAGAUAUUUUGAUAAUUUUAGAAUAAAUUUAAAAAUUUUGAAUAGUAGUCAUGAAUAAAUAAGCAAAAAUCUAACUACAUUGAGUUAAUCCUAAACAAAUAGGACUUGAUAUAACAAGAUAAGAAUACGGUAAAUAGAAGAGUUAGCUUCAUAGAACUUGCUGUCUGGCAUAUUAGUGAGAAAAUCUUUUGUUAGAUUUCGAUUUAAAUUUGCAGCUAUCUAAAUUCAAAAAGUCAAAUUCUAAUUUAAUUAGGAAAAGAUGAGAUUUAGAAAUAUUAAAAAUAAGUAGAGUUUAAUUAAGGAUCUAAUUAGACUAUGAGUUCUAAUUAGACGUACUCUACAUUGGAGCCAUGCAUUAUACAUAAGAAGCACGGACAUGUGAGAGAAUAUAUUUGAUUCAGCAUUCGGGGACUUGGAUUAUAGCAAGACGAAUAUAUAUUAUUGGCUCCAAUGAAAUAGAAUUACAUAGGCUGGAUUUUGCUUGGAGAAGUUCAAAUUUAGUAACGUUGCUUCCCUGUCUUAUCCUAUCGAAUCUGAUCCGAUCCUCACUACCAAACAUGACUUUCAUUCUGAUUUCUUGAGCUAGCGCAUAAACAGAAAUGAAAACGGCGAACGUGAAGUGGACAAACCACAAACAGAAAAAUAAAUAACACAUAAAUUUACGUAGAAAUUCCUUUACGGGAAACAAAUCACAGACGAGAGAGAAGAGGACUUUACAAUGCAAAACAAAAGAAUGUAAAAUUUGUCAAUACAAUGCGUUGUAUCGUGUCUAGGGCAAAAACGAAGAAGGAAAAAUUCUUAAUAGGUUUCGAAUCCGAUCCACAACGCAGCGGCUCCGCCCCCCCAACACCCCCUGGCCUUUCCCUUCACAAAAUUCUUUUCCAAAUUGAUAGCACCGCAAAACUGCCGACGAGUGGAGUUCCAAACUGAAGUCGAUUAUCAAUUUCGAAGCACGUCGAGGAUACGUUUGUUCCUAAUUAUGUGGAGCGAUUAAUUUAAUAAUUAAUUAUAACUUUAUUCUACGACAUGAUUGAGGGUUAACCUUAACUUAAAUUUGAAUUAUCACAAUUAUAUCAUACACUCUGUUUGGAAUAACUAUGGUUGAUUCACAAUUAUAUUUUACAAGGACUAUGGGCACCUUUAUAAAAGAAAAUAAAAAAUAAAAAAAACAAAAUUUUAAUUUAGGGACCGUUUGGCCUGACAAGUUAAAAUCAAUAAGCUACAUAUAAUUGUAUGGGCAAUAAAUAGAAUUCAUUUCAACAAAUUGUAUAUAAGUUGGAAAUAAAUAGUACAAUUUUAAAGGAAAAAAUAAUUAGCAUACAAUUUUAAACUGAGUUAAUUAAGUAAUUUGAAUAGUUUCUUGAAAUUAAAAGAACAUUUUUGAUAUUGAUAAUUUUUAAGAAAUAUCUAUAAAAUUAAGGAGACCGAAGGGUACUCAGGAAAUUAAACCUUAUUAUUAUAAGGUUAUUAGUAUAAAAACUCGAUUCCACCAUGUUCACACGAAAAUGAAAUAAGAUGAAAAAUAUUAAAAUUUGGUUUGCUUAAUUCUUAUUCAAAGUCAACUAACCCAAGAUUUAAAUUGGCUUAAAGAUAAGAAUUAAGUGCAGGAUAGAGGAAGAGGGAGAGAGUAAUUAAAUAAUAUAUACACGCAUAUCUAAGUGUAUAUCAGCGUGACAUAUGAUGUAUUUAAAUAUAUAUGUCGUAUACAUCUACAAAUAAUUGCAUAUAGUUAAGUCUAAUACAUUAUUAGUCACCUAAUUUUUCCUGAAAUUUCAUUUACUUCAUGAAAUUUUUAGUUUUGUUCUUUUCAAAUCAAGUCAUCGAAACUUUAACUUCUAUUUCAAUUGGAUCACUGGUCAAAAUUUAUUUCACUUUUUAGAUGAAAUUUUACUUUGGUAUAAUUAUUUGAUAAUAAUUGAAUAAGUAGCCAGAUAAUUUCUAACAGAUAACGUGUGUGACGCCCCACUUCCCAUGGAGUCAAUCCAUUCUAGGACUACUCUCGUCCUAGCACGUUUAACUCUCUUAAACUCUUUGGACUCAGCCACCAUCCAAAAUGCUUAAGCCGUAUUAAGAGUGUUUACCCCAUUAUAUCUUAGUUAUAGGACUAUUUAGGGUCUCACAUUCUCCUCCCUUUUAAGCUCUGAUGUCUUCGUCAGGUUCACACUCACAAGUAUCAGGCGAUGUGAGACUCAUCUCGCUAGCCUUGUCAUUCCGACCCUGGCUCAGCCGAGACUCAUCUAACACUUCCGACUGGUAAUUGGCUCUGAUACCAAUUGUGACGUCCCACUUUCCAGAGGGGACCACCACUAAAUCCUAGGAGACCACUAUUAUUCUAACUCUAUAAUUUUUCAUCCAAGGGUUAAAAAUUUGAUAGCAAAAGAACCCAAAUACUAUUAAUAGUAUUUCAACCCAAUUCUCUCUCUCUCUCUCUCUCUCUCUCUCUCUCUCUCUCUAUAUAUAUAUAUAUAUAUGUGUGUGUGUGUGUGUGUGUGUGUGUGUGUGUAUAUAGGCUGGGGCUACUAUACUCUUAUGAGUAUAGACCCCCUUAUACUUAUAAAUUUUUAACCGUUGAUUAAUGGAAUGUGUGGUUAGGAUGAUGGUGGUCCCCAUUUAGAAUGAUAGUGAUCCCCUAGGGUUGAGUAGGUAGUUCGUUUAAUAGUAUGAUCUAACGGGUGGAAAUGAUCAAUGGAAUAAAUCUAAAGGCCAAAAACUUAUGAGUAUAAGGGAGCCAAUACUCAUAAAAGUAUAGUAGUAUAGUAGCCGGACUAUAUAUAUAUAUAUAUAGCUACUAUACUAUCGAAAGUAUAAAGGACUUGAUACUUCCAAUUUUUUGACCCUUGGAUCAAGAAUUAUACGGUAGGAAUGAUAGUGGUCCUCCUAGGGUUGAGUGGCCCCAUAAGGUAAUAAUAUUAAUCUAAAUAUUAGAAAUAAUCAAAGGACCUGAUCCAAGGGCCAAAAAGUCGGAAGCACAAAUCUUUUAUGCUAUAUAUAUGUAUAGAGAGUAUGUCUCCCGUGCUUUCAAAAGUACGGAGGCCUCCGUACUUGUUAAAAAUGAUCAAGAGGGUUGAUCCAAGAGUUAAAAAAUCGGAAGCACCAACUAUCUUAUGCUUCCGAUAGCAUAAUAGCUGUACUCUAUAUAUACGUUGAGGGAGCCAAUUUAUUGUUAGAGUUUCUGGGAAAAUGCAACUCAACUAAGCCAAGUCGAAAAUUGUGAUAAGUUUGAUAACUUUUACAAUCGGCGCAAAAAAUCUUUAAACGGCCGUAACUUUUCAUUCAAGUAGAGUAGGAUAGUCUUAUGAAUAUCGAACUUUUUGCACUCAUAAUACGUUAUUUUUUAUGAUAGAGCUUCCGUCGGUCUUUUAUUUUUAUAUUCAUAUUCGAAAUCGGAUAAAUCGACUCUGUUUGAGUUCAGAUUAGGAUAAAAUUUUGAACAUCCGUACCCAUCGGACUCUCUAGUUUUUUAAUGGCUUCUUAUAUAUUGCCCACAAAAUGCUGGUGGAAAAAGCCAAGAGGGAAGUUUCUUGGUGGUACAGCGUUUGGUUCCCCUUGUCUUCUUCCUAAACCCCCAAAAGUCAACUUCAAGAGCUUAUUUGAUAGUAGCAUUUUCUCGGGCAAAAUUUGAGGCUAUUUUGGAGCAGCCCCCUGAUCUUCAAAUCUCCUUUCUGGAUCUGUGGUUAGUUUGUGCUUCUUCCACUUAUUCUUUUUAAUCAAGUUUUAUGUUCCAAGGGUUCUUGCUUUUGAUUCUCUUUGCUAUCAACUAGCUCAAUUCUCAAAGCACUGAGAGAGUAUAGUGUGUCAUUGUUGUGUAAUAUAUUAAUGUUUGGAUUCAAUUGAUCUUUGGAAGCAAGAUUAACAAGAGAUAAUAAUUGAGCUAGAAUAAGAACUUUUACUUUAUUGUUCAUGAUUGGGCAUCUAGAUCGAUGAUCAAUGCCACGAAAGAUGAUUAAGGACACAUUAACUUUCUAGAAAAAGACCGACCAUCCCUAGAGCAAGUAGCAAAGAGCUUGAUGGUUGGUACCCGAGGUCUCAAGUUCGAAUCAUAGUUGAUUCACAUUUCUAGCCAAGUUUAUUUCUAAAUGAAAUAAACGAAGCGGGUAGCAUGCUAUCUAUCUCUAAAAAAAAAAAAAAAAACUUUCUAUAAAAAUAGUUUUUUGAUUUUUAAAAUUUAUUUUCUGGGUCACCAAGUGGGCACAAUAUGAAUGGUCAACAUAAGCAACCUUCUAAAAAUAAAAUUUUAAAAAAUUCUUAAAUUCACCAUCUUGUUUAAUUGUAGAUCUUGAUAUAGAUAGUUGAGAGAAUUUUAUUUAUCAUCAAAAGCUCAACUAAUAUCUGCAGUUUAAUGCAUGGCAUUUAAAUUUAGUUUGCUUGUCUUUUCUAUUCACCUCUUCUACUGGCAUAUUGGCAUCACUUGCUAGACCUUCAACAUGUAAAUGAGUAAAAGAUCUUAAUAGAUUACUGUUAGAUCAAGCUUUUGGGAAACAAGACCAAUAGCCACUGUUGAUUCCUUAGUUAUAUAGACCAUAAAUAUAUAUCAUAGAGAAAUGUACAUAGUGGAUACUGGAUAGCAUACAUAGUGGAUACUGGAUUUAAACUUGCUGAAGUAAAAUGAGACGACCUUCUACAACAUAUUACAAAUUGCAGCACAAAUCAAAGAAGUAAAAAUAGAACAUUUAGAUUCUGGUCCGAUAAUAGGCAGCGUGAAUGCCGAGGCAAUCAAAUUUAAUAUAUUAGAAAUACGAGAGUUCAUGAGUCUAAAAUUAAGUUCUUAUAUUUCUUUUAACGCAAAACUAUAUAUUUGAAGGAGCACUCAUUGUUUCUUGCUCAAAUGAGACUUGUAUAGAUAGCCCCGGUAUUGCCUUAUUAAUGAACAAGGAGAGGGCUUCAAGGAAAACUCUAUUUAUAAUUGUUAAUUCUGGAAUAAUUUACAAUCACUCUUAAUACAAUGCCCACUACUCAGUGACUAGCAGCAGGUUCAUUUACUUUCCAACUCUUUAUUGAUUUCAUACUGUUUUAAAGGACUUUUCGGCAUCUUGCUCUGCAAAAUAAACAUCAAGGUCAUGUAGGAGUUUAGUAUGACUAGUUAUAAUGAAUCUUUUAUCUCAAAAAUUUGUUAAACUAAUUCUCAACCAAGUUAUUGCUUUUUGUUCUCGCAAACUACAAUGUUAUUACUGGUGUUUCUUAGUUUUAACUGAGGAUUAAUUGUAACAAAUGUUUGUUUGGUGCACUAGAGAGUUAUUUUGGUUGAGACAGUAACAUGUUCUUUAUGAAAAUCGCCAAGACUCGUAAGAGCGUUAAAAAAUCAUCAUUUUUUGUAGUGUUCCAUUUAGAGAGACAUGGUAAUUUGAAAAGAUCGUUUAUUUCAGGCUCACUUCGGAGGAAGCCUCAUGGCGGAGGCUNCGGAUAUCAACAAUGAAAGAACUCAUGAAGGAUAUAAGUGAGAUUAAGGAUGAGCUUGAGAGCAUGCUAUCCUUCCUACGGAUCGCAGAAAGAUUAAAAGAGAAGGAUGAGAGCACAAAAACCUUCAUAAAACAAACAAGAGACUUGGCUUUCGACAUUGAGGAUAUUAUAGAUGAGUUCACGUACAAGCUGGGUGAGGAGCAAGGAGGGGUUCUACCCAGAGCAAUCAAGAGGUGCAGAAAUAUAAAAACAUGGGAUGACCUUAGCAGCAAACUUAAAGAGAUCAAAAUUAAGCUCCAAAACAUUAUGGAGAGAAGGACACGAUAUGAUACAAGAGGAAUGGAAAGUGAAGUAAAACCUCGAAUAGCUGUUGGCGGUAGCAAGAGCCAUGUAGAAUUAGCACAUUUUGUCGAGGAGGAUGAUAUCGUGGGUAUUGACAAGUACAGGGACUUGUUGCUCAAAUGGUUGAAAGAUGAGGAUGAGCAACAACGACAGCCCAUGAUAAUCUCAGUGUUUGGAAUGGGUGGUCUAGGGAAGACAACUCUCGUAACUCACGUGUACAAAAUCAUCAAAGCUACCUUUGAUGCUUGUGCCUGGGUUGCUGUAUCUCAAAGUUAUGAGACUGAUGAUUUGCUUAGACGGAUUUUAAAAGAGUUUUAUAGGGAAGAUCGUGAGAAAAGACAAGCACCUAACAACAUUGAUACCAUGGAUUGCAGAAGCUUGGUUGAGACUAUUCGCACUUACUUGCAAUGUAAAAAUUAUGUACUCAUUCUAGAUGAUGUUUGGAGUACUGAUGUACUGGACAAUAUAAAGAAUGCACUUCUGAAUAGUAAUAGCAAUAGUAGAAUAGUUCUCACAGCAAGGAGUUGCGAUGUAGCAAUACUAGCUAAUAAGCACUAUAUGUUUGAGCUAAAGACACUAGAGGCAGAUCAUUCAUGGGAUUUGUUUUGUAAAAAUGCAUUUUGGAAAAGUGCAAACAAGAUUUGCCCACAGCCUUUAGAACAAUGUGCUAAAAAAAUCGUCGAGAAGUGCGGUGGCUUGCCCCUUGCUAUCGUAUCUAUAGCCCGUCUCUUAUCAUUUCGAGAACAAACCGGUUUUGAAUGGGAGAAGGUUUACAAAGAUCUUGAGUGGUAUCUAACCGACAACGCAUCGAAAAUCCAUGAAAAAGUACAUGACAUUUUGAAACUUAGUUUGGACGAUCUUCCCCAUUACCUUCGAAAUUGCUUUUUAUAUUGUUCUAGCUUUCCGGAAGACUAUACAAUUGAAAGUGACAGGCUCAUAAGGCUUUGGGUGGCUGAAGGGUUCAUUGAAGAAAGAGAAAGAACGAUGGAGGAAGUGGCAGAGGACUACCUUAAUGAACUUGUUCAUCGCUGUCUACUACAAGUGGUACAUAGGGAUGAAGUCCGUAGAGUUCAAGGAUGUCGAAUGCAUGACAUCAUUCGUGUGCUUGCUCUUUCCGAGUCAAAGGAGUUAAGUUUCUGCAUGGUCUAUGAGCAUUCACGGGAAAAAUUGCAGAGAUCCAAAGCACGCCGCUUGUCAAUCCUAAGCAAUAUAACUAAUUAUUGUACUGAAGACAAAUCUCAUUUGCGUUCAGUGCUUGUUUUCAACAAUUCCAUGAGCUAUGAUUUACUGCUGUCGGUCUUAAGAUCAUCAAAAUUUUUACGUGUCUUGGAACUAGGAGGAGCGCUAAUCGAGAAACUACCGAGUGAGAUCUGUAACCUAUUCAACCUGCAUUAUCUAGGCUUGCGAGCUACAAAAAUUAAGGAGCUUCCAAGAUCAAUCGGGAAGCUACGAAAUCUGCAAGUAUUACAUACAUAUGACAGUGAAAUAGAAAAGCUGCCAAAAGGAAUAACAGAGCUUCAAAAGUUGAGACAUCUAUUUUUGUCUGACGAUUUGGGUAAGAACAUCAAGCCACCGGUGGGAAUAUGGCGCUUGAAGGGCUUGCAGAGUUUGACAACUAUUAGGGCAACUAGGAAGAUUGUGCAGAAUGUAGAUGCUUUGANUAGAUACAGGUGAAAGUAAAAUAGAAAAGCUGCCAAAGGAAAUAACAGAGCUUCAAAAGUUGAGACAUCUAAUUUUGCCCUACUAUUUGGGUAAGAACAUCAAGGCACUGGUCGGAAUACGGCGCUUGAAGGGCUUGCAUAGUUUGGCAAACAUUGGUGCAACUAGGAAGAUUGUGCGNCGGAAUGUAGAAGCUUUGACAGAGUUGCGGACAUUUGGGAUAGAGGGCGUAAGAACCCAUCACUGUGCAGACUUGUGGAAUAGUAUCACAAAGAUGAACCAUCUUAGCAAUUUAGAUGUCAUCAGUGGACGUGGGCAAGAAUUACAGCAGUUGGGCACCCUGCGCCUACCUCUACCAAUUCAAGAAUUAUGGCUGAGGGGUAAAUUAGACAAAACCUCAGUCCCUGAGCUUGCCACAUCCUUUGGGUCUCUAACAAACCUAAUCGGAUUAACACUUUUUUAUGCAAAUUUGGAUGAAGAUACAUUUCCUUACCUGCAAGCGUUGCCCGCGUUGAUGUUUCUUGGCCUUUAUGAGGCAUAUGACGGCAUGAAGUUGCACUUCCAAGCAACAUCAUUCCCCAAGCUAAAGGAAUUGUUAAUACAAGAUGCCCCGAAUCUCAGUCAGGUGGAAAUAGAAAGAGGAGCAAUGGCAAGCCUGAAUAAGCUAGACCUACACCGUUGUCCAGAGCUAAAGGAGCUGCCCCACGGCAUUGAGUACCUUACCACCCUUAAGGAUUUAUACAUUUGGCGUCCAGCAAAGGAACUUGUUGAGCUGCUUCUAGGAGGAGGAGGAGGAGGAGAAGGCGACCACAGCAAUGAUUGCCGCACGAGGGUUCGCCACAUCCCGAAUUUUACUAUUGGUUUCAAACGAGACGGCAAGGUUGUCGAAGAAAGGAUUUGAUGAUUCCACAUCAUGUAGGUGAGUUUGGGCGCUUUUUGCAAAGCACCGACCGAGCUUGAUGCUUUCAUAUUUUCUGCCUCAGAUCUUCUAAAUAAUCCGUGCUUGAGGAAAAUUGAAAAUGAUGAUCGAUAUGCAGGUGUUAUCUUAUAUGUGUAUUUUAUUUUAUUUUUCAAUGUAUGUGUGUGUAAAAGUGAAUGCAUCAAAUUAGUUGGUGCAUGCCUUCAGCUACUCGUAUUAUGUAUUUGGAGAAUGCUUUGUACCCUUUAAACUUUAUUUAUUGACUAAAAUAAAAAAAAAACCUUCCCUUAUAAAUAUCCAUAUUUUUUACUUUCUAAGAUGACUAAAUUUUCUUUACUUGUUAAGAAAAAAAUUAUAGGGUGUCUUCAGUAUAAAUUAUAAGAAAUGGACUGAAUAGUAGUGACGGAACUCUGACAAUCGAAAGCGUUUAAAUCCAUCAACUUGAAAUUUUGAGAAGAUAAAAUAUAGGGUGUGUUUGGUUCGAAGUUGAAAUCGAUAUCAGAAUCGGAAUGAGAAUAAGGCGGAAACAGAAUCGGACUGAUUCAUUACCUCAUUUUAUUUUGUUCGCCACCUGAAUCAGAAUCGAAAUGAAUAAUUCUUAUUGUCGGUAUUUGAUUCAAAUAGAUAUCAGAAGCGUAAUCAAAUUAAUAUGUUAAAUUUAUCUUUAAAAUAUAUUCGUUUAAAUCCAAACUGAAAAUUAAAUAUUAAAAAUUUACGUCAAAAUUUUAAAUAUAUUUUUUAAAAAAAUUAAAAUUUGAAAUUGAACAGAUGAUUCAAAAUAUAAAACUAAAUUUCGAUUUAUUUAAGUUCAAACUUAAAAUUAUAAUUUCAAUUUCAAUUUGAAUCCAUAAAUUAAAUUUAAAUUUUAAAUAAAACUUUAGAUUUUAAAUUAAAUUUAAAUUUAAAUUCAAAUUUGUAAAUUAGAUUCGAAAUGCUUGAUUGAAUUUUAAUUUUAAUUUAAGUUCAAAUUAAAAUUUAAAUUUAUAAAUAUAAUUUUUAAACUUAAGUUUAUAUUUUAAUUAAAAAAUAAGCUUUAAAAAACUAAAUUUAAUCUGAAUAAAUCCAUUCCAUCUGGAUUCAAUUUUCAAUCUAGCCUCCCAGGCACCCGGGAAUCAGAAUUAAAAUGGGAAUUCCGCAUACCAAAAACAGAUAAACGGAUUUGUCCAUUUCAAUUCCGAUUCCAGGAUGAAAAAUGGGCGAACCAAAUACGCCCAUAGAUUUUUGAAAGCCAGUAGAGGAAGUGAUGGAUGAAAAAACAAAUAUUUACAUAGAAUUUUCUAUAUUUUACCCUUAUUAAAAAGAUUAAAAAAAAAUUGAAGAAAAAGCUUUCGUAUAAUGUCUGAAAGGAUAAAAGCAAAUUUCAGUUCUUAACUAGGUUGAGUUAAUCCUAAGGUAAAUAGGACUUGAUAUAACAAGAUAAGAAUAGAUCCUAAAUAGAAGAGGUAGUUUCACAAAUAUUAAUUGUUGUUUAACAGAUUAGUUAGAAAAUUUAUUGUUAGAUUUCGGAUUAAAUUUUUAGUUAUUUAAAUUAAAGUCAAAUUUAUUUAAAAUUAAAGUCAAAUUCUACUUUAAUUAGGAUAAGAUGAGAUUUAGUUUUAUUAAAAUAUAAAUAGAGUUUAAUUAAGAAUCUAAUUAGACUGUGAGCUCUAAUGAGUCUCUACAUUUGACACGUUCAUUAUAUAUUUAUAUACAAGAUGUACGGCCAGAGGAGAUAAUUAAUUAAGCUCUCAAUUAAAUAGUAUUUAGCAAAUUAGAGGGGGUCGAUUAUAUUGAAAUAAUGAUGACCAAUUUGUUCGCCAAUUAAUUUUAGUUCGCAUGUGCUACUCAUGUCAUCAUAAUUGUUGAAACAAAAAUCAAAUUCUCUUGACCUUUUCUCAUAGACAGAUUGAUUUAAGAAACGUAUUGAUUAUUUUUAAUAAACCACUACUUCGCAUGGCGUCUAUAAUAUUAGAAUAUAUAUAUUAAUAUAUGAUUCAUUUACUACUAAUUGAAUUGAAUUUGAAUUUGGAUUAAUGUAGAUAUAGAUAAAAUUAUCAUGCCAAUCCUACUUUAUUUAUAUUUAUUCGAAANUUUUUUUUUUUUUUUUUUUUUGAGAGAUAGGUAGCAAGCUACCCGUUUCGUUUAGACAGAUUGAUUUACGAAACAUAUUGAUUAUUUUUAAUAAACCACUGCUUCGUAUGGUGUCUAUAAUAUUACAAUAUAUAUAUUGAAUUUGAAUAUGGAUUAAUGUAGAUAUAGAUAAAAUUAUCAUGCCAAUCCUACUUUAUUUAUAUUUAUUCGAAUGAAGAGAGUAGUUGGAAUAUGCAUCUAAUUCCGAUUUCUUCCGUUAAUUCGGAAAAAAAUUUCUAUCAAAAGAAAUCUUCUGUUAAUUCUCAAAAAGUUUUCUAUCAAAAGAGGAGGAUAGGUUUGUUCUUAAUUUUGUGGAGUGACUAAUUUAAUAAUUAGUUAUACCUUUAUUCUACGAUAUGAUUCAGGGUUAAUCUUAACUUAAAUUUGAAUUAUCAUAAUUAUAUCAUAUACUCUUUUUGGAAUAACUAUGGUUAAUUGAUGCAUAAUUAUAUGACCAAAAGAGAUUCCAAAAUAUUUUCCCCAAAGUUUUUUUUUCCCCUUAUAAAGAAUAGACUUUUAUCUGAAGACUAAUCAAUAUAUAUAUUUUACAAGCCCUAUGGGCACCUUUAUAAAAAAAAUAAAAAUAAAAAUAAAAAAUUUAGGUACCGUGGCGUGACGAGUUAAAAUGAAUAAGUUAUCUAUGAUGAUAUGGCAAAUAAAUACAUCAAUUCAUUUGAACAAAUUGUUGAAGGAUUGGACUGAUGUCACGUGAUUCUCGACGACUGCUGCUCUAGCUACAUGCUUUUGUUUCCUUUCACAUGUUUUUUGGGCUUAUGUUUAUGUUCUCGUUGAUUUCUUUUCGAUUUUUCUAGGAGGCCCUAGCUGCUUCCACCUGUAUGCUUAGUUCAUUUUACUUUAUGAAUGAAGCAGGUAGCUUGCUACCUUUUUCUCAAAAAAAAAUUCAUUUGAACAAAUUGUAUGUUGGAAAUGAAAAGUACAAUCUUAAAGGGAAAAAAUAAUUGGCAUAUCCCACAGCAUAAAGAGAGCCUGGGAUCCCAAGAGACAUGAGAUCAUUAUGUGCAUAAUAAUCAUUUAUUUACUAUGCAUUCUAUACAAAACAAAUAAUUAUUAAGAGAAAUAAACAUGAGUGAAAAAAUAGUAUAGUAGGGGGAAAUAAAAAGCAAGAGAAAUUAGUAUGGGGUGUUAUUUUUGUUAUAAAUAAAUUAUAAGUAUGGAUCCAUAUCAAGAUAAGAAACAUGCACACCGAAUUCUAAUCACCAAGACGAGAUUGGACACGGAGCUAAAUCUCUUCUAAAGAUGAUGACUUACUGACAAUUACACCUUGUGCAUGUUAUUUGAUUUACGACUAACAUGAAAAAAUUGGUUCGUAGAUCGAUGAACCCAACUUUUGGGUGUACAAAUAGUAUUGCUCAAAAAUAAAAGGGACCAGUAAAAUAUUUUCAUUCCAUUGUUUGCAUAAAAUUUACCGUUUAUUAUUAUUAUUUUUUUUUGUAACUUAUACCCAUGUUUAGAAUUUCUUACAUAUUAGCAUUCGAGUCCUAUCAAAUAAACCAACGCCAAAGUACACUAUAUUACAUUAAAAUCAGGAACACAAAAUUCUAAAACUCUAUAUCAAUAACCUUAGACAAAUUCAUAUAGAACAGUACAAUUUUGGAAUAUAUAACAUUAUUGAAAUAUCAAAUUCCAUCCAAGUUUUGUCCNUAUUUACUAUGCAUUCUAUACAAAACAAUUAAUUAUUAAGAGAAAUAAACAUGAGUGAAAAAAUAGUAUAGUAGGGAAAAAUAAAAAGCUAGAGAAAUUAGUAUGGGGUAUUAUUUUUGUUAUAAAUAAAUUACAAGUAUGGAUCCAUAUAAAUAUAAGAAAACAAGCACACCGAAUUCUAAUCGAUCACCAAGACGAGAUUGGACACGGAGCUAAAUCUCUUCUAAAGCUGAUGACUUACUGACAAUUACACUUUGUGCAUAUUAAUUGAUUUACGACUAACAUAAAAAAAUUUGUUCGUAGAUGAACCCAACUUUCGAGUGUACAAAUAGUAUUGCUCAAGAAUAAAAUGGACCAAUAGAACAUUUGCAUUCAAUUGUUUGCAUAAAAUUUACGAUUUCAUUUUUUUUUUUGUAUCUCAUACCCAUGUUUAGAAUUUCUUCAAAUAAACCAAGGCCAAAGUACACUAUUUUACAUUAAAAUCAGGAACACAAAAUUCUAAAACUCUAUAUCAACAACCUGAGACAAAUUCAUAUAGAACAGUACAAUUUUAGAAUAUAUAACAUCAUUGAAAUAUCAAAUUCCAUCCAAGUUCCGUCGAGCGCAAAUUUUCUUUUCCUUCUAUUAUAUUUUUUUCAACAUGUAUUGCGUCGAACAUAAACAAAACGAGGAACAACACGCUGAAGCAAAAGAUAAAACACACUAUGUACCACUUUUCAAAUUACCCAGAAAGGUUUAAAUAAAACGAGGAACAACAUGGUUCGUACCAAUUUUCGGAGUACCCACAUGAGAAACCCUUGGUGAGUUCGCUCGAAAGUUUUAUAAGUCUUUCGAGGGCAUCAUACCAUUCGAUCCAUCUCCGAGCAGUCUAUUUAUAUGAUGAUUUUGACAAGCAUGAAAUGCUUCGGCAGAUCAGCUCUUCUGAUGCACAGCAAUCACAUGGAUGUCCAUCUCCUUCAGCAUGACGGAUCGGCCGCAAGAAUCGCAUGGCGCCGUUCGCGACCCACAUAUGCUCCCGUGCUCGGAGAGACCUCUGAGGCGGUCGCGGGCAUCGAGCGGUUCGGUCCCGGCUUGGACCAUGUCUCCGCAAAAACGGCACACUAUGAGCCGCAGUGGGCAGGUCAAGGACUGGUGUUGGACCUACCAUCACAAAGAAAGAAGUAAAAAGUUAAUGCCUUUCACUGUAGAAGAUAGAUGUGGUUCAAUGUUGGCUCUUACUACUGUAGUUUAGGCCAUACCAAAUCCAUUUUUACAAAAGCAUCUCUUUUUCAAUAGUAUGUAUCAAAUGGAACACCUGCUAUUACCAAACUAAACAGAUGGUUUCCAGUCUAAGUAGAAUUGUAAGAGUAAUCGGAUUUAAUCGGCUAAUAUUAAUAUCAAAAUUUGUCUAUUAACAUUUUGGGAGUAUAAAACAUACCAUGAGAUCGCAUACAAGGAUAUGUUUAGUUUUAGAUUAAGGUAUCAGCAGUAACUGACUCAUAAAAUGCAAUGUAUCAAGCAUAAUUUCAAAAACGAAGGGCAUAAAUCAAAACAAUAUACACAAACUGAUAUAUGCAGAUGAAAAAUCUCUAUAGAUAUAUAAUAAACUACGCUUACCAUUUCUUCCUUCUCAAGGACUACUCCACAUGGGCAAUUGAGUGGCUCAUGAAAAACUUUCAUAUGCUUCUCCAUCUCCCCCUGUUGAAAGGCUUGUCCGCAUUUACCGCAAUGCACAUGAUUCGCUGCUUGCUCCUUCCUGAGAACAACUCCGCACCCCUCAUGCUGGCACACCAAAUUAUGCCUGAUGCAGUAUGCUUCAUGGAUCACAAUGGUCCUGCUGGAUAUAUAAUGCCAACAAUUCCGGCACUCUACUGAAUCGGAAUCAACUUGAGAGGAAGGAUUCAAUUGUUCUCCGACCUUUUGCCCGUUAUUGUUAAUAUCCUUAACUUCUACAGAAAUAUUGAAUUUCGUAACUCCCUUGAAGCCAAAAACUCCAAUGCUGUAGGUACCUGCUACAAGGCUUUGAUCCUUCUGUUUAAGUAUCAAAAUCUUCGAGCCCAUCUCAUGAGAUGACUAUUCAUGUCGAUGUUGGGUCGGAAAUACCAGUGGAUGCCUAGAUACAUAAAUAUUAGUAUCUCCAUCACUGGUAUCUACCUCAAUCUUGACUUCUAUGUUCAUUAGCCCAGUUGAAACUUUCUCACUGAGAGUCUCUUCAAUGGAAAAUUUAUAGUACAUGAAUUUUCCUUCUUCCACAAUCCCCGACUCAGCCUUUCCUAAUACAAGUGGUAUGAGCACAUGCUGUUCAUUCUCAUUGUCCAAAACAGAAUCAGAUCCCUCUAUAUCGACUUCGAUAUCUGUUUCUAAAAUUGAAACACUCGAAGAAGGUUUGAGCUCGAGAACUCUUAAUUUGUACUGCAGCUCUCCAUAAUAGACCGUGAUAACAUCGCCUUCUGACAGGGUCGCAUGUUUUCGAAGAGUGGUUUCGAGGAUAGCUUUUUGGUUAGGAAGGUCGGAGAAGCCCACUGCUUCGGGCUUAAGCUUAGCAUAAGUUCCUUUUGGCAAGCUGGCAUAGCGCACCACAAUUAAAGGAACUUCAAUGUUGGUACCAGGGAAUAAAUUUGUCCAGACAUGCGGAGGCAGCUCUGCAGAAUUUUCUCGUGCAGUGAAUUCGAGGACUCCUGAAUGAGUCGUUGUUUUCAUAUCUUGAUUUUCGCUGGAAUUAGAAGUUGAGGGACCUCCUUCAUUAACUUUGGACAACCUAAAGUACGUAGGACCUUUAUCCAGGGCUCCUUGAUCAGAUAGCUCUUUGAAGCAAGAAGACGGUAGCUUGAUCUUGUCUGCAGAACCAUCAUAUGGAAGGGCUUCGAAUAACCUUGAAAAGACAAUCCCGUUGCCUAGAAGCAUGUUUUGAAUUAAUUGGUCUUUUUCUUUUUUAUAUGAAUCCGAUUUAAUUGAGUCUUUAUUUUGAAUCCUAUAACGUUGAUUGAUUCUAUUUCGCCAUUUUUGCGGUACUAACCGCGACCAUUUGGUUUGAGAUAAAUUGUACUGAUAAUGCCCCUUUAACCAGUUUUUCCAUUCAAUCAUUCCAGACUUAUGAAUUUUCUUAUGUCUUGGAUUGGANGACUUUGAUGGGGAUCAAAUGGCUGUUCAUGUACCUUUAUCUUUGGAAGCUCAAGCGGAGGCCCGUUUACUUAUGUUUUCUCAUAUGAAUCUCCUGUCUCCAGCUAUUGGAGAUCCCAUUUCCGUACCAACCCAAGAUAUACUUAUCGGACUCUAUGUAUUAACGAUCGGGAAUCGUCGAGGUAUUUGUGCAAAUAUGUAUAAUCCAUAUAAUUGCAGAAACUAUCAAAAUCAAACAGUUGACAAUAAUAAUUAUAAGUAUACGAAAGAGAAAGAACCGUAUUUUUGUAGUUCCUAUGAUGCACUUGGAGCUUAUCGGCGGAAACGAAUCAGUUUAGAUAGUCCUUUGUGGCUCCGAUGGAGACUAGAUCAACGUGUCAUUGGGUCAAGAGAAGUUCCCAUCGAAGUUCAAUAUGAAUCUUUGGGUACUUAUCAUGAGAUUUAUGGGCACUAUCUAAUAGUAGGAAGUGUAAAAAAAGAAAUCCGUUGUAUAUACAUUCGAACCACUCUUGGUCAUAUUUCUUUUUAUCGAGAAAUAGAAGAAGCCAUACAAGGGUUUUGUCGGGCCUACUCAUACACUAUCUAAACUAAGAAAUUCGAUUAGGCGAUGCCUGGAAUUCGGGUUUUUCCAAUUUUACUAGUAUCAUAAUUUCUGAAUUUCUGCGUGAAUCAAGAUUGAGAUUGAGGAAAGAAAGUUAAGUUUUCGAAUCACUGACUCAGGCCCAUUGUCGAAUCCUACUCAGCAGAAUAUAGAGGUACUUAUGGCAGAACGGGCCGAUCUGGUCUUUCACAAUAAAGUGAUAAAUGGAACUGCUAUGAAACAACUUAUUAGCACUUCCACUUGACACCUAUCGUAAUGAUAAACGGCUCGUCUCGCCGUGACCUUAUCUUGGAUUCUCAAUACUUCUGUCGCUCCAUCCCCGCAGGGGCAGAGAACCCGUCGCUGUCUCGGCUGUGCUACCGGAGGCUCUGGGGAAGUCGGAAUAGGAGAGCACUCAUCUUGGGGUGCCUAAAUAGUAGACACAGGUGAUAAAUAAGAGAAUACUAAAGAUUCGAGCCAUAGAAUUUCUCAAUUCUGACACAAGGUACUUAUUAGAUCGAAUAGAAUGAUUUUGCCGUAUCCAGAAUAAUACCAAUCCAACCCGCUUUUGACAUAUCUAUCCUAUCGUUAUUUGGGUACCAUAUUCACUUCUUUGGGCUUCUAUUGAAUCGAGAAAUAGGUUUGAUUGUACAUCUUUUUGAUAUAUAUAAGGUAUCCUCCGGAUAAUUCAAAUCGAAGCAAUUUGAUGUCUGACUCAGGCCUAUAUGACCGAUCGAUAGAAAUACUCCAACACUCCACCUUUGUCAUAUAUUCCAUAUAUCUUUUUUCUUCUAAUUGCAAAUUGUUCUCGAUUCACCAAUUCUUAUCUUUUUUAUCCUUUUAUAAAGGAACAAUAAUAAAAGAAAUCAAAAAAAAAAAAGAUAUAAAAAAAAAAAAAGUCAAAUAUUGGGAUUCUUAAUUAUUCUGAUUUUUUCUCAGAUAUUUGAAAUAUUCAAAAAUUUACAAUUGGUUGGUCAAAGUUUCUUCCAUCUGUUGCUCUACCUGUCAAAUAGACCAAACAUUAAUAACCUCACAAGAGCACGAGUGAUAAGUGAUAAUUGAGAUGUAUCUAAUUAAUAUUAGCCAAACAAAAUGGGAACAAGAAAAGGCCACAAAAUCGCUAUAAUUAAUUAAACCGCUAAGUUUGUUUAAGCUGCAAUCUUUUCAAUUAACUUACAAUAGACAAAUAGCAGUAAAUACUUAAGGCUAUGCAUCAACAGUAGAAAGAUAUAUGCUAACAAAGCACAGAAGCCUGGAGAAAGAUCAACAGAUACUAUCAUUUUCUUUUUCUUUUUCCCAGUUCUAGAUGUCUUACACUCUGAAUCAUCAUUUAAAUACUGAGGCUGUAAUUCGAUUGCAAUAAAGAGAAAUAAGGUCAGGGAUCUUUCUUCAAGUACUUAAUGGCAAUGGACCAAUGAGCAAGAAUUCCAUAAAACCUCAAUUUUCUCAUUCAAGUAUACAAUUAAGUGGAAGAAAUAACGAAGGCUGUAGUCAUCAGAUCUGACAGAUACACGUUUGCUUGUUAUUGUGCAUCAUGUUAAUGUAAUCAAUUUAGAUCUUAUCAACUCAUAUCCCACUUUAUCAAACUGUAUCAUAUUGAUUAUGCAAUAUAGGCUUAACUCAUCUGAAAUGCCUCUAAACCUAUAUUGUCUGUCUAAGCUAUGAUCAAAUCAGUGUUUUAUUUUGCGUCUCUACUCUCUAAUCAUAUUUGACUUGUUCCAACUGAUUCUAAUUGGUCUAGACUUGAAUUGACCCAAAUUACAAUAUGACCUGAUAACUUCAACUCUAUUUUGCGCAAACCAUAAUCUUAUGGUUCUUCAAAACAUCAUCCCAGUCCGUACAGCCGUACAAUUUGGACUCUUGUUUGAAACUAAAACCGUUUCAUUCUACACCAAUGACCUUUCUAGUGAGGUAUCAUACACUCAAUUUGGAUCAGAAAUGGAUCAGUUAUGAUAAUAUUACCGACUGCUCUACUUAAAUUUCCAUAAAACAGAAUUUAAUAUUUCACCUCACAUGACAUCUCGCAAACUAGUGAAGAUUAUUACCAUAUGCUCUUUUUUGUGAUCCUCGAGAAUCUAAAAGCCUCUUUAGCUACUCUUCUUACCUCCAACUUAUCUAAGUUCUAUAGGUCUCGGAAAAGGCCUUCUCUUGCAAGAGCUCACUUUGCUUCAUCUUAAAUCAAGAUGAAGAAGAACUCUUUAUUACUUGAUCUUCUCAUUGUACGUACGCUGGAAUUAAUAAACACUCUCAUCAAAUGAGGUUUUCUGUGGGCUCUUCUUGCUUUUGAUCGGCAGGAGUGCUCGAGCCCGUAGAUGAUAUGGGAAAAGAUUAACCUCUAAAUCCCAUGAUGACAUAUAUAUUUACAUAAGUUAACCCUUGAAUUCAAUUGUUCGUUUUCUAAUUAAGAAUUAAUCAAAUCACCCCACACUUCACUCAAAGAGUUGAAGGUUGACACCACAUCAUGGAGGUGAAUUUGGGCGCUUUUUGCAAGGCUCCGAGCCUGAUGCUUCCAUAUUUUUUCGCCUCAGAACUUCUAAACAAUCUGUGCUCGAGGAAAAUUGAAAAUGAUAAUCUAGAUGCAUGCAUGUAUGUGUUAUCUUGUAUGUUAUUUUAUUUUAAUUUGAAUGUAUAUAAAAGUGGAAGCAUCAAAUGAGUUGGUGCCUUCAGAAGAACCACCACUCCACAACAUUAUGUAUUUGUAGGACGCCACUCCACAACUUUAUGUAUUUGUAGGAUGCUUUGUACCCUUAAAACUUUAUUUAUUAAGAAGAUUCUAAAAAACUUUGAUGAAAAAUCUUUCGCAUUGUGUGUGGAAGGAUAAAAGCAAAUUACUUAGGAUAAGAUGAGAUUUAGAUUUAUUAAAAAUAAGUAAAGUUUAAUUAAGAAUCCAAUUGGACUAUGAGCUCUAAUUAGACUCUACAUUGGAGCCUUGCAUUAUUAUACAUAAGAUGUGCAGCUAGAGGAGAUAAUUAAUUAAGCUCUCAAUUAAAUAGGAUUUAGCAACAAGAAGAGAUCGACUAUACCAAGACGAAUAUUAUUGGUAUACCUGGCAAUCUCUAUCUAUACCCACGGGUACUCGUAGGUUACCAGCUGAUUUGCGGGUAUGAAUACUAGUUUUUUCUAUUUAAAACAUUAUUAGUAAAACAGGUGGAUACUCAUUAAAUUGUGGGAUUUUGGGCAACCCGCGGGUACCCAUAGGUACCCGCAUAUAUUUUUUAAUACCUAACGAUUUUUCACAAAGUGGUGGCGAAACGUAUAACUUGUACAAAUCUUUUUAUUUUCCAAUUGACCCUAUAGUUAUAAAAACUUUAUUAAUUUUGCAUCACGAAAAUUAAAAAUAAUAAAAUACUUUUAUAUAAUAUAAUUUAUGCGCUUUAAAAUUUUAUAUUGUUUAUUUAUGUUAUGAUAUUUCAAACAAUAAGUUAUGUUAUACUUUUAAAAAUGAUAUAUAUGUGUUUUGUAUUUCAAAAGUAUAGGAGUAAAAAAUUUUAAAAAAAAUCUUGCAGAUAACCCGGAUACCCGCAGGUGGGUAUGAUGUCACGCCCCAAGUUCUAAGAUUCGUCGGGUUCGCCAACAGAUGCGCCGCAUACACAGGUGGUUCUGUGUACAGGAAGCGAAAAGAAGAACCUGUAAACAAUACAAGAACAAGCUCUAGAGAGUAACGGAGCUGCUAAAAUAGAAAUACGUAGUCAUAUGUACAUACAUGUCACCCAAGGUGUAAAACAAAAACCAAAAGUAUAGUGUCUCACAACUCUCAACAGACAAAAUAAAAUACAACUGUAUGUGCAUGACCAGAAAAAAAACAACUGACUCCAAAAUGGUACUCCUCUAGCUCAACGACCGGGGUAGAUAGGGAUCUAGCUCGCGACUUCCUUACCUCGAUCAGGAGAAGCAGGAGCAACCGAUGGCUCUGCAAGAAAAAGUGGCAAUAAUGGGUGUGAGAACUACUACAAAAUAGAGUAGUCCUUAAUGGGUACCGUCACCGACUCCAACGGCCUACCCACUAAGUCUACAAGACUAACGAUAAAACUGGUAGGAAAAAGAUCAAUAAAAUAAGCUAAAAGAAACUCUACAGCUAAAAUGUAACUACACUAUCACUACUCAUGUCAUGCUUUCUGUAGAUAUAUGCAUCACUGGCUACGAACAGUCACAACUGACCCAAUCCCAAGGGACCGCCAACUGGCCAGUCCCGCCUGUGCCCAAGCUACACCGCACACCACCCACGGGAAUGGCCGGUCCAAGAAAAAUGAUGCAACAUCAACGCAAGAAAGUCAGACUCCGGAGCGGCACUCGCGGGGGCGCGACCCCUAUCGAGUAUAGAAGCGUGUCUCUGUCGAGCUCAAUCAGGCUGUAGUCAAAACAAAUGGGUCAAACUGGUCUAACAAUAAUGUCCUCGACACAAUAUGCAGUAAGAAGUAAAGAUCUGGGUCCACCGUCAAUCCCGAUGGCACUCAACUAUACGGAACAGCCUAAACUCUGCUGUAAAAACUCACUUGGCAUCUCAGCACGAGCGUAAUCUCAACCUAUACUAAGCUAAGUAUCCAUGACGCGCUAACGGUGGUGAUACAAAGAUAAAAAUAGCUCCUGAAGCUUUUCGAAAAGUGACAUGUGUAGGUUUAACGAGUUUUCUCCUAAGUCAAAUUAUAACGGAGCUCGACUUUUUGAAUUCAAAAUGACAAAAUAUAAACGGUUAAUUUCGUAAGUACCCUUCCAACCACCCCUAAUCACAAAUAUAUAUAUUCCAAAAGUUGUCAAUAUAUAUCAAAAAAAUUUAGUAAAACUAAUGAAACUAUCCACAUUACUCGUAUCCCACUUAAAUUACUUGUUCUACCCCUCUCGCCCUUACAACUGUUAUAAUACAUAUUCUGUGAUCAAGAUAAUAUAUGCAUUUAUUAUAAGUAAUUUUCUAGUUUAAUUUAAUUAUCUUAAUAUGUCUUUAUUUUGACUAAUUUAAGGUUUGUUAUUAGUUGGCAGCUUGUUAUUGGUCAUGACAACAUUAAUCUGUCUCUUUGGGAUUCAAUUAACUAUGUUGUAUCCGACUCUAAUCUAUACCUAUACAUUAUUCCCCCAAAAAAAAGCCACGAGGCGGAAUUUCCUUCCUUUAGCGAAACCAACUUUUCGGCUUCCCUUCACCUAUAACAUUUAAUUAAUAGUCCACUAAGCUUAACCUAACCCUUCGCCUUUCCUAUACACAUAACGCCGGCUUCCCUCCGCCUAUAAUAUCUAAUUCUUCCCUCCACCUAUAACAUCUAAUUAAUAGCCCACUCAUCUUAAUCCAACCCUUCGUCUUUCCUACAAACAUAACGUUUAAUUAAUAGUCCACUCACCUUAAUCCAACCCUUCACCUUUCCUACAAACAUAACGUCUAAUUAAUGGUUCACCUACUUUAAUCCUAAUCUAAACAGUAAAUUGUAGAAACCUACGAAAAGCCCAAUUCUCUUCUUCUCUAUUAUCUUUUCCUCCUCCAUGAGCUCCGAGGCUAAGAUCAAGCACGUUAUGUAGAUGGAGUAUAAAUUUGCACGCUGCAUCGUCGAGCUUAGCGUUACCAUCUUCAUCAAAUCGAGCUUUCCUUCAAAUUUCAGGAGUUAUUUUAAAAGAUUAAUGUAUUCUUUAUGUUGUAUCGUUGAAAUUUCUUAGAUAGUUUUAUUCAGUUUUUUAAAGUUUUUUUUAUUUGCAUGGUAUUCAAACUAAUGUGUUUGUUAUGUUGAAGAUUUAUUAUUUUUUCUUUUUCUAUCCUUUGUUUUUUAUAUUUUUUUUUCUCGAAAGUAAAGUUCUGUAUUAUAUUUACUGUAUUUGGUUGUGUUAGGUUGUAUAUCUUUUUAUCUCUUAAAAAUUUAUUAUAUAACUUUUCAUAUGUUUUUUUUUUUCUAUUUUCAUUACUCUUUUUAUUAACUGAUAUAAGCUGUUUAUAAAAUUAGAUUGAUAUAUGAUCUAAAAAGGUUUUUAUUUUUUUGAAGGGAUAAGUAUCUUAGCUUAUAUAGAAAAUGAAGAAAUAAAAAUAUAACUUAUACAAAAAUGUUUAACUCUUUGAUUGUUUUGAUUUAUAAAAUAUUAAUUUUUAUUAGAUUUUUUAUCUAAAUCUCUCCUAAAUAGUAUUUCAUUUUUCGUCUCAUUAAGUUAAUAUACUUAUUAUUUUUUUAUGAACAUUUUGUUACUAAUCAAUUUUAGCAAAUUAAUAUACUUUUACAAGAAGCCAAUAUGCUUGGACUAUUUUAAUUUUUAAAAUAAUAAUAAAUUUUUAAUAUAUUAGUUAGAUACUAAAUUUAUUUUAAUAGUAUCUAUCGUUCGCAAAUCACGGGUUACUUCACUAGUUAAUAACUACUUCUCAGCUUCUAUCUCCUCGCUCUUCCUCUGCUCGAAGGAUUGCCCUAGCCUUCUCCGACUUCUUCUCUGCCAGCCCGCCAGCCUGCCUGAGCUCCUUCGGAACACCUCCCGUCGGACCCUUGUCGCCUAGCUUCCUCCUCUCCGCCUGCUGCUGCCAUUUAUUCUUCUCUUAGCUAGUAAAAUAACUACCUUCACUACUUCCCUUUUAACUACUCUACUCCUUUAUUCUUCAGGUUGUUACAGAGAAGGAAUUUUCACUUUUGCUGGUGGUAGACCCACCGGCCACAGAAUGCUGAUGGCAAAAGCGAACAGGGAAGAAGUUCGUUCCUUGCUGGCUAAAGGCCAUUCGACCUUUUUAAUUAUUCUGCAAUUCCCAUUCUAUUUCUUUUCACUCUUCAACCUUUUCUCUCUCUCUCUCUCUCUCAAUCCCUAAAACAUCUACUACAAGAGCUUCUUUGGUUGCAGAAAGACGCCGUCCAGAUCAGUUCACUGUAAGCUCUCAUCAAUUGAUAUAUAUGUCGCACUAUAUUAAAGAUCAAAAUACUUCUAGUUGUGUACGACACAUAUAAAUUAACUUCUAUUUUGUGAAUGACGUAUGUUGUAUAUCUAAUUAUUUCAGGUUCUUUCUCAAAAAAAAAAAAAAAAAAAAAAAUUUCAGGUUCUUGUCCGGAAUAUACCACCUGAUCCAGAUUAGUCCACCAGCGAGCUUGUUGAGCAUUUUUUCCUUGAAAAUCAUCCUGAUCACUAUCUCACUCAUCAGGUAGUUUGUUGCGAAAGGUUUGAUGAAUUUGUUGUAGGCAUAGAUGGAAAUUUAAUACGGUCAGUUUCAUAGUUCAGUAAAUUAGUUGUACCGAUGGGAAGUGAUGUAUCCUGCAAUUUUACAAGAAUGUCCAAAUUUUUUCUUUUGUUUUCAAUCAGAAUUCUGGUAUUUACCUUUUGUUUUCCAUUAGUUACUGGAAAGCUGGUAAAAGAGGGUACAUGUAGGCUACAAGAUUAAGAACAUCUGUGUUCUUUGUGCGGUGUGCUUUGUAGGUUGUUUAUAAAGCCAACAAACUUGCGAAACUGGUCAAAAAGAAGAAACAGAUGCAGAACUGGCUUGACUAUUAUCAACUGAAGUAUAAUAGAAAUCCGUCGAAGAGGCCAACUUGCAAGGUUUGCUCUAUUCUUCUUAAUGUCUUUGUUUUCAUUUCCAUUGUGAUGUUUCAAAUGAACGUAAUGUGUUAUUUUGGAAGAUUAAUAUUCUUCUUCUUUGCUUCUUUCAAACUGGUUUUCUAGGAUUAUGGGGCUCCACUGUGGAUGCAAUUGAAUUCUACAUAUCUGAAAUUUAAAAGCUAUCAAAAGAAGUAAGUGGUGCUCGUCUUACUUCGGUUCAACAUGUACUAUGUUCAAUAGUUAUCUUGCUCCUCCGCAAUUUGCAUUAGCGAAUUGCUACGCAAGUUGAUCAAAUUGAGUUAAGUUUUUGAUUAAUAAGGUUUGAGAUGAACUGGUCAUUCAUAGCUCGUAAGUUAAAUUUGGACUGCUAUAGGGCGAACGAGAUUUCAAACUCUUAAUUUAGCUUCUACUUCAACAGUAGUUUGAGUGUUUAUUGGUCAUGACCAAUUAUGUCUGCAACUUGAUUGCCUAAUUGCAGCUGUUGUCAUAAAUACGAGGAACUAGAACAUAUUUAUUGUGUUUCAUCUUAAAGUCUUAUACGAUGUCAACUUUCAGAUUGUACUUUAAAAGCUAAUAAUACAGGAGCAUAGAGUGGACCUUUUCUGUUCAAAUAGCCUUUUUUAAGAAAUCAGUUUUUUCCUUGAAAUUAUAUCAUAUAGGAAAGGCUCAGUGAGACUGCUUUAAGGUCGCAUGUAAUAUGUGUGUAACAUAGGCAGUACCAGAGGUUGUUUGUGCUUUUCGACCUAUGCAUCAUUUAGAUUUAGUUUAACAAGGUUUUUGGUGUUGAUUAAAUUUAAACUUUCAAACUAUCUCUAUUUAUCUGUUUGCCAUUGUAAAUAAUUAAAGUCUACUUGGACGAGUGCUUAAUGUUUUGCUGAUACAAUCUUACUUUUCGCUACUUUCUCUACUCUAAACAUAUAAUAAUUUUAUCUGUACUUCCAUUUUCAUGCAAAAUUUGUUGCUGUUUCUACGAUAAUUCUAUAUUUAGGAGGAGACAGAGCGUGAGAAUGUCAAAAAGGAUCCGAAGUCUGUUGUGCCAGCAGCAUUUGUUUCAUUCCGAACACGGUGGGGUGCAGCAGUUUGUGCUCAGACUCAGCAAACUCGAAAUCCUACACAAUGGUUGACUGAUUGGGCCCCAGAGCCUCGUGAUGUCUAUUGGCAGAAUCUUGCUAUUCCCUUUGUUUACCUCACAAUCAGAAGGUUGGUUGUUACAGUAGCACUCUUCUUUUUGACCUUCUUCUAUGUCAUCCCAAUAGCAUUUGUACAGUCUCUUGCUAAUAUCGAGGGAAUCGAGAAAGCUGCUCCGUUCCUAAAGAUAAUUAUUGAAAAGUGAGUUUAUUGCACUGCUUUAACUUUCUGAACUUAUGUUCAUGUCUCUUUUCCUCUUCUCUUGCCGUGUUUGCAAUUAUGGAUGAUAUAUUCUUUCGUCAAUUAUUCUGUUUUUUAAGAUAUUUUAACUAACAAUUUGAUGCCAAACAUGUGACAUAAAUUACACUAGUAAUGACAUUUAUGAAAUCCCUGAAGAAUAUUCAGAUGUCAAACAGCAAUAUUUGCAGUUGUUGCAACCCGAUCCUUUCUCUUUCUUGACAUAAUAGGAGAAAUUAUGGACUGCAUAUUCAUAUGCUAAAAAUAAUAAAAGGGAUAAAAGGAGGUCUAGAAUUUUAGUUAAUACUAAAAAGACUCGUAGAUAGCAUUAUCCAUGUACUUUGCAUUAAAUGCUGAUUUUGUGGAAUUUUUUUUUGGAACAUUCUUUUUUUUUUUUAAUCUUUGAUUAUAUGAAGUUUUUUCUUGCAAACCCUGAAAAUGACUACUAGUUCUAUAUUUUCUUAUGCAGGCGUGUUAUUAAAUCAUUUAUCCAGGGAUUUCUACCUGGUAUUGCUCUGAAGAUAUUCCUCAUACUGCUGCCAACCAUAUUAAUGUUCAUGUCCAAGUUUGAGGGAUAUACAUCCUUGUCUUCUCUUGAGCGGAAGUCUGCUGGAAAAUACUAUAUCUUCUUGUUUGUUAAUGUAUUUCUUUGCAGCAUCAUCACUGGGACUGCAUUAGGGCAACUAGAUAUAUUUAUUCACCAACCACCUAAUCAGUAUGUGUUUUUCCCCCUUUCCUGUCUGCUUGAUAAUAAAAGUAUCCAAAAAAAAUAGUUAAUCUUUUUGUUUCAGUUGUCUGGUUAUGUAUUCUUUUCAUCUAUCUAAAUUUAUUGUGAUCUAUUCUCUCAAUUUUUUGGGCUAUCGUGCAUUAGUUUUUACUUCAUAUAUUAGAAUAUUUUGUGCUUGUAUUUACUUAUCUAUUUGUCCACAUAUGCACGAAUAAGACACUUAUAAAUGCAUAACUUGCUAUGACCAUGCAAAUAGUAUUCUCUUCCAAGGAAAUAACAUACGUUGUCCAUUUAAUUCGAUUCCCAUUGGACAAGAUAUAGUAAGUCUCAAACUUCUAACAUUAGUAUGGCUUUCAAGUUUAAAAUCUUAGUGACCAUGUCAAUCAAUAGUACCAAUUGUCAGCAUGGCUUGUUUCGCAGCAUGUUCUGGGUCAAUACUCCAAAAUGGGGUGUAACCGAGCAACUAGAACCUUCUCAAAAUUAAGGACUAUCUGCCAAUAUCGAUAGGCCAUGUGAAACUAAUUUUGCAUUAUGCUAUUUCUGUAGAAUUUUUGCAAUGAUAUUUAAUCUUGCACUUCUUUAUUGCAAAAGGUCAGUUGUCUUCUUUCCAUUUUCUCGAGGAGGCAGUUGAAAUUGUUGUUUAUUCAUAGAAGCCAAUGUUUUUAAUUUGUUGUUUGUAAUUUGUAGUCUUUGAGCGUAAUAAUACGUUAGAAGCUAAAGGAACUUACAAUUAAAGUGUCUUUUGAUUAAUAACUUACUAUCUAUUCAUAAUUGAAUCUUACCAUGCUAUCACAAUCAGUUAAAUGAAAAUUUUGUGCUAUUAUUCAUUUGACACAUUAAAAGAUGUUAAGUAAAAAUUUAAAUUUCUUGUAUGUUUGGUUCUCUUUGUUAGGAUACCGAAGACAAUAGGUGCAUCAAUCCUGAUGAAAGCAACGUUCUUCAUUACUUUUAGGGAUAAUUGCCUAUAUACCCCUCGUAUGUUUGAAAAUAUUCGAUUUACCCCUACUUUUUUUUUCUUUCUAAAAUUUUCCUCAUAUGUUCCACCGUUAUUGCAAAAUACCUCUGCAGUUAUCUUCUGUUAAGUUAACCUGGGUUAAAUGUGAGUUAAAUAUCUACCACAGUUUAAAAAAAAUAAAAUGCCAAUUUUACCCUCAACUUAAGGGCAAAUAAGAAAGGUUGGUGACGGUAGAGGGGUAUAUUGUAAAAAAUCAAAAGUCAAAACACUUUUUGUGCCCUGACUUUAAGGGCAAAUAAGAAAAACAGUAAUGGUGGAAGGGUAUAUUUGAAAGGGCAAAAUAGUAAUUUUACAGAGAUAACAUAGUUACUUAACAGAUUUUAACUCUAAGGAUAUAUUAGAAAUAGGUUGGAACGUUAGAGGGUUAUUUUCAAUAUUAGCCUUCUAAGAGGGGUAAAUCGAAAAGUCGGGAACUUUUCGGGGGUAUAUAAGCAAUUGCCCCUUACUUUUAUAAUGGUUGAUGGAUGGGCCGGAAUAGCCGGAGAAGUUUUGAGAUUGAAGCCGUUGAUAAUCUUCCACUUGAAGAAUUUCUUCUUGGUGAAGACUGAAAAGGAUAGGGAAGAGGCUAUGGAUCCGGGAAGUAUUGGGUUCGACUCAUCUGAGCCACAAAUACAGCUGUACUUCUUGCUUGGUCUUGCCUAUGCCGUGGUCACGCCAUUCCUUCUACCUUUCAUCAUAAUUUUCUUCGGCCUUGCUUAUGUUGUUUUUCGUCAUCAGGUAUGCAACUCUCAUGUACUUCCACUUUGUAUAGGGUUGCUCUACGAAAUAGAAAUUUCACUUAUUAGGUCUCGGUUGGUACUGCUUCCAUUUUCUAAUUCUUGUAAACUCAAAUUCUAUGCGAUGGAUUGCGCCGGUAAAUGCACUUCUCCAUCUCUUCUAUUGUUAGUUUGCUUGCCAUGCACCGCUUACUCUUAGCGUAAACUGUGUUACAGAUUAUAAAUGUCUACAAUCAAGAAUAUGAGAGCGCCGCGGCAUUUUGGCCAAGCGUCCAUGGGCGCAUAAUCACAGCAUUGAUCAUAUCGCAGCUGCUCCUACUUGGGUUGUUAAGCACGAAGAAUGCUGCUCAGUCGACUCCUGUGCUCCUCGCCCUUCCGAUAUUAACUAUAUGGUUUCAUCUCUACUGCAAGAAUCGUUAUGAACCUGCUUUCGUGAAAUAUCCACUCCAGGUAAAUUUUUCUGGUGUUCCUGAACAUAAAUUUUUGCAUUAGACUCUAGUGUCAUUUGUUCUCUUUCAGUACUUGUUACUUUGCUUGAUUUACUUAAACUAGAACCUGUAUGUGACAAAUGGGAAAACCAUUAGAGUAGGAGUCGUAUAUUUGCAUGUUAGAUAUGUCAAGUAGCUUUGUGUGGAUCGUUGGCGCUAACCAUUGAUUGCAAAAACUCGAGCUGUUAUAAAAGGGACAAUCAAUUCACUUGAAGCAUAAGCGUCUUUAAGCCAACAAUGCCCCGCACCUGUACAAAUUUGCAGUAUGCGGGAAUCAAACUCGCAACAUUUUCUGAUACCACUUGUGGAUCGUUGAUGCUAACCAUUAAUUCCAAAAGCUUGGGUUGUUAGAACGGGGCAACCAAUUCACUUGAAGUGUGCAGACAUAGCAUUCACGGGUCUUUAUUGUGACUCGGCCCAAUCCGGCCUCCCGCCACUUCGAAUAUGAUUUGGCCCAACCCGGUCUCUGCCACGAGGCAGGAUGCUAAACUUUAAGUAACCGGAACAUUCAUGUUAUUCCUGUUGCAUUAUAAAAUUACUUGAUUCUUUAUAUUUUUAAAAUGGAAUUAAUACAAUUUAGACCCUCUUUGCGAACCAAAGAAGACAAAACUCAUAUUGAGUGUUAUUUAGAAGUAUGUAAAUACAUUUUUAUUGUUCUCAUUCUGAUAAUUUCUUCAUUCUAAUCUCCUUUUACAGGAAGCAAUGAUGAAGGACACCUUGGAGCGCGCGAGGGAGCCAAACCUAGACCUCAAAGCCUACUUAUCGAACGCUUAUAUUCACCCCGUGUUCAAAGGUGCCGAAGAGGAUGCAAUAGAAGCAUGUGUAUAUUUCUAUGUAGAUUAAGAGGUGAGAAACGAAUGGUCUUUUUUUUUUUCUUUGGUAACUUUACAUAUGCAGUAAGAAUGAGUCUUUUGAUGUGUUAUGGAACUUAUUUUUGAAAUGUUUUCACAGGAUGAGAGAGAGAGAGAGAGAGAGAGAGAGAGAGAGAGAGAAUGCCAAAAUGUUGAACAGGUUCAAAUGAUGAACUUGUUUUCAAUUCUCUGGAGUCACUGCUCUUAAAAAAAAAAAAAAAAAAAAAGAAAUUCAGAAAAAAUGAAUGUAGACCCCUCAACUUUUAAGCCAUUUUAAAAUACCUCCUCUAAAGUUAUUUUAUUUAUUUUUUUCAUUGGUACCGCCUCAACUUUCAAUUUGUUUGAUUUAAAUUGUUCCCGUUAAUUGAAAUGGAGAUUUUGUUAAAAUAAACUGCUCUAUCAGCUUUGAAUUUGACAGAAUCAUCAUUAAUUCAACAAAAUAUCAGUUUAAUUUACUUAAACAUAAUUUAAAAUAAAUAAAUAAAAGAUAAAUUUUAAGGGUCCUAUUUCAAAAUGCCCUGUAGCAUAGGGACCGAGUAUAUAUACAUUUUUACCAAUAACUUUUUGCACCCACCUAUGAGCUUCUAGAGCUAAUUAACAUUUGAAGUGUACCUCCUUAACAAAAUGAGUUAAAUAUAGAAUUAUAAUGCAUCUGCAACUUGUUAUUUUUUUUUUCUCAGUUCUCUCUUGAAGAAUAAAAAGAUGUUGAGCUUUUGCUUGUGGUAAUUGAUGCAGAUUAUAUAAUUGGAGGUUAAAAUAAAGGUAUUGCAGUGCCGAAAAUUUAUGAAAUUGGAUUUCUACAGCGUUCAAAUAUUCAAAAUCAUAUUUACUUGUAUGGAUCGUCAAAUUGAAUGUGUAAGUAUCAAAAAAAUAAGACUCUUGCAAAAUAUGUAUAAUUGUAAACCUCAAUUAUGCACCCUAUUGUUUUUAAAAUAUUAAUAUUCGAUUUUCUCUUCAUCAUAAAUGUUGGUUUAAAUGGGCCCGAAACUUGACGAAUGCUUUUGUAAUUAAAAUACACAUAAAAAUAUCGUUAACAAAGAGUUUAGCUACACUGUCAAAAUCUCAGCCCUUACAAAAACCCAUUAAACUACAUGAUGCAUGUAGUGGAAAAAUCCUAAACAUAGCAGCCCACGACACACAAAUCUUGGAAUAGCAUCAUAGAUAAAAGGAUUAGUAGUAGCUGAUUAUAUUAGAAACAUUUCUACAUAUAGUGCUGAAGAAAUGUAUAAAUAUUUAGAAACAUACUUAUAUAGGAGAAUCAACUAAAGCCAUGUGGGAAUAAUUUAAAACUCAAUGUGAAGAAGAAUUUAAUCAUAUGAUUGCUUUAGGAUGUAAUCCAUGUAACUUCACUAAUAAAGUACAUGCCUUAAUAACAGGACAAGACCCAAAUUCAGGACAAAUAGGAUUACAAAAUAAUGCCAUAAUAAAUUUAGAACAAUUAAGUAUUUACAAUUGGGUACAUAUUAAAAUAUUUUUAAGUGAUUAUUACUAUUAUUCUAGUAUUAGUGGAAAUACAUUUAAUCCAGAUAUACGUAGAAAAUUAUUUCUUAAAUUACCAGGAGUUUUAGGAAGAGAAAUUCAGAACUAAUGGGAAAAUAUGGACGUACAUAAACUUAAUCCUAAUACUUUAUGGUCUAUAGGUCAAAGAAUUCAAUUUAUAAUGACCAUAUAUAUUACAAGAAAAAUGUGCAAAUAUCCAAAUACAGAAACAACUAAAUGAGUAUUCUUUUUGCAAAGACAUAAUUUAUACUCCACAACAAUAUGAUAAACUACCCUCUCAGUCAUCCCAAUGAUACUAUCCUAAACAACAACAUAAAUUCAAGAAAAUCCAUGUGAGGCUACUAUGCUUCUGGAAGCACGGAGCCUUCCGCGCGUGCUUCCAGAUCGUUUUCGAUGUUGCGACUUUCGUAUCGUCGAUCGGCUCCGUUAAACUUGAUUUAGAGUAUUUGAAGUAUCUAGAAAAUAAAUUUUAUGAUUUUUCGAUAUCAUUUGCCUAGUGAUCGAAGGGGCUCAAAAUCAACUAAUUUUAAUGACUAUAGUGAACUAUUUGCAAGUUUAACGGUGUAGAAAUAUACAAAUCACAUAAAAUUUUGAUAGAAAAUUUUUUAUACUAUAUAAAAUAAGAUCAAUAUCUUUGAUCUAAAAUUUUAAUGUCAUAUUAUCACGUUUUGUAAGAUUUUUAUUUUCAGCCGUUGUUUUUGAGCCCCUUCAUUCACUAGGCAAAUAAUAUCGAAAGAUCGCAUAAUUUAUUUUCUAAGUACUUCAAAUACUCUAGAUCAAGUUUAACCGAGCCGAUCAACGAUUUGAAAGUCGCAACAUAAAAAAUGACCUCGAAGCACGGACGGCUCCGUGCUAAAAUCUUAUUUAAACAAAGAUAAACAUGUUCACAAAUUUAGGGGGGAUAAGACAUAUAAGAAUAAACUCCAUUGCUUUACUUGUGGAAGUACAUAACAUUUUGUGAACACAUGUCCAAAAAGAAUGAAUAAAAGAGAUAGAAAUGCAUUAGUAGUAGAAGAAACCCAAGAAAAUCUAUUAGCAGUGGAUGAGUAUAUAUCUGAUACAGAAUCCAUAUAUUCUAUUAUAAUUAAGUAUAGAUACUUAUAAUGAUGAAAAUUCUUCAGACGAAGAAGAACAAAAUGAUUUUAUAAUUGAGAUAGCUGAAAAUCAGAAUUUAAUACAAUUUGAUGCAUUGCAACAUUUAAAUUUUAUCCAUCUAACAUUAGUGAACAUUGUGAGACCCCGAAUAGUCUUAUAUAUAAGAUAUAAUAUGGUUAAAAUUCUUAACCCGGCUUAAACAUUUUAGAUGGUAGCGUGGCCCAAGAGGAUAAGAGAGUUAAGCGUGCUAGGACGGGAGUAGUCCUAGAAUAGGUGAUUCUAUAAAAAAUUGGAACGUCACAGUUGGUAUCAGAGCAAAUUACCAGCCGAAAGUGUGAAAUCAGUAUCGGUUGAGCCUGGGAGGCUUAAAGGGGGGGAUUGUGUGACCCCGAAUAGUCUUAUAUAUAAUAUAUAAUAAGGCUAGAACUCUUAACCCGGUUUAAGCAUUUUGGAUGGCAGUGUGGCCCAAGAGGAUAAGAAAGUUAAGCGUGCUAAGACGGGAGUAGUCCUCACAUGGGCGACCCCCUGGGAAGUCGGGGCGUCACAGUUAUAAACUGUAGUCAUAAUAAAAAAGAUGAAAAAAUAAGUUCUACAAGACGAUGAGUAAAAAUAUAAUUUUUUCCCAGAUCAAUUGAGCAGAGGAAUUCUAGGAUAUGGUUUUACUAAUUACAAUCUUCAAAGUGUUUCAGAACAAAAUAUAAUCAAGCAAAAUAAUACAACAAUCCAAUUAAUAUUAGAUCUCCGUAAAAAAUUAGGUUCAUACGGAGUCUUAAUUAUACAACAAGCAUCUAUAAUUAAAAACUACUUAACGAUGGAGCUGAUAGAAGAGUGUAGAUGUUUUCGGCGAUGCCUGGGGUGGUCUUGUGAUUUUUUCUUGAGCUGUAGUAAAGUUUUCCAUGAUUGGAAGGAACUGUAUGCUUUUGAUGAUUGGUCCUUUUGCUACUGUUUGCUUUUGAUGACUUGUGUCGCCUUUGCCUUUAAUAAUUGAAGAUGCUCGAUCGGGUCACACGGGGUGGUUUUAGUUAUCCCCUAAUUUUUGCCUGUAAGUUAUUUCUUGUGGCGGGGGUGAGUAAUUAUGUAUCUUUUAUAGUUCUAUAGUUGCUAUCAGUUUUUUAGAUUUUGGAUAAACUCUUUUCAUUAUUUUUAAUCAUUAGAUUAAAUACUAUAACCCAAUGGAGACCACUCAACCCUAGGGGGACCACUCAACUCUAACCGACUAAUAUCAUCCUGAUCCUACAAUUUUUAAUCCAAGGGUUAAAAACUUGAUAGCAAAAAGAGUGUUUUACUAUUAAUAGUAUUUCAGCCUAAUUCUAUAUAUAUAUAUAUAUAUAUAUAUAUAUAUAUAUAUAUAUAUAUAUAUAUAUAUAUGUAUAUAAAAUAUNAAAUAUACACAUCACUUUGAAAUAUAUAAAUAGCAUUGUUUUUUUUUAUAUAUAUAUAUAUAUAUAUAUAUAUAUAUAUAUAUAUAUAGUUGAGCUAGAAUACUAUCAAUAGCAAACCGGCAUUUUUGCCACCCAUUUGUUCUCGAUGAUGGAGCCUCCAAAUCGACAAUCAGCAUCGUUGAACAUGAUCUAUACCACUUGAAGUGUUUAUAAAUCAAAUUUCAAAUUUUUUCGACAUCAUUUGCCUAAUGAUCGAAGGGUUUCAAAAAUUGUAAUUUUAAUGGUCGAUAUAAGACAUUUUCUCGUUUAACGGUGUAAAGAUAUCCAAAUCAAUUAAAUUUUUGUUAGAAAAUUUUUUAAACUAUUUAAAAUAAGAUCUAUACUCUUGAUCUUGAUUACAAGACUCAUAUAAUCAAUUUUUUAAGAAUAUUCAUUUUCAGCCGUUCAUUUUUAUGUUCACUCGAUGGAUAAGAGAGCAAUAUCGAAAAUGUAUGAAAUUUGAUUUCUAAAUACUUCAAAUAGUAUAGAUCAUGUUCAACGUGCCGAUCAUCAAUUUGGAGGCUCUAUCAUCGAAAACAAAUGAGUAGCAAAAGUGUCGGUUUGCUAUCGAUAGUAUUCUAGCUCAACUCUCUCUCUCUCUCUCUCUCUCUCUCUCUCUCUAUAUAUAUAUAUAUAGAGAGAGAGAGAGAGAGAGAGAGAGAGAGAGUGGUAUACUAUCAGGGUAAGCACAGAGUCCUCCGUGCCUCCUGAAGUUGUUUUGUCUCAAAUUAACAAUUUUAAUGGUAGAUGUACUUGUUUGUUGAAUUUAACGUGGUGUUAAAACAAUCGAAAUUUUUAUAGAAAAUUCUUUUCACUAUUUAGAGUAAAAUCAUUACCUCAGAUCUUAAAUUCAAGUUUUUUAUCAUCAUGUUUUAUGAGAUUUUUAUUUUCAGCAGUUCAUUUUUAAACUACUCGUUUGAUAGGUAAUUGAUACCGAAAAAUAUAAAAUUUAGUUUCCAAAUACUUUCAAUAGUGUAGAUCAAGUCUAACGAAACCGAUCGUGGAUUUAGAAGCCGCAUCAUUGAAAACAACUUGGUAGCAUAGAGGCCUCCGUGCUACCAAUAAUAUACCAGCCUAGCUCAUAUAUAUAUAUGUAUGUAUAUAUAUAUAUAUAUAUAUAUAUAUAUAUAUAUAUAUUGUAGAGCUACUAUAUUAUCGGAAGCAUAGAGGAUCAAGCAUUAUAUAUAGUAUAUUGACUGAGAGCGUAAACGAUGGUGCACGGUCGAGUAUAUUUUGAAUCUUUGAUUUUUCUGACAGAUAUAAUUUUGUAUUCCAUCUUUGACGUUAAUGAAAUUUUGCUUUGUUUUCGUCCGUGAAUGUAGAUUAGUAGUUGAACUACGUAAAUCUUAGUAUGUUCUUUUCUUUGUUUUUUUUUCGGAUCUGUUUUUUGCCGUUUGGCUUCAACAACACCUCACCAUCGAAAGUUCCCAGCUGCAGGAGAAGGAAUCUUCACUUUUGCUGGUGGUAGACCCACCGGCCACAGAAUACUGAUGGCAAAGGCGAAGAGAGAAGAAGUUCCUUGGUGGCUAGCUAAAGGCUAUUCGACCUUUAAUUAUUCUGCUUCCCAUUCGAUUUCUUUUCACUCUUCAACCUUAUCUCUCUCUCUCUCUCUCUCUCUCUCUCUCUCUCCCUAAAACAUCUACUUCAAGAGCUUCUUUGGUUGCAGUAUUUUCUCUAGUUAAACUUGAGAUUAAUUAUUUUGGAGCAGCUCCCUCUUCAAUCUCCUUUUCGGAUCUGUGGUUAGUUGUGCUUCUUCUACUUACUCUUUUAAUUCAUUUCUUGAGUUCCAAGGGUUCUUGUUUUUUAUUCUCUUUGCUAUGAUCAGCUGGCUUAAUUCUUUAAAGCACACAAGAGUAUAUAUAGUAUGUCUUUGUUGAUUAAUAUAUUGGUCGGAUUCACUUAAUGAUGCAUUGUAAACAAGAUGACAAGAGAUAAUAAUUGAGGUAGAAUAAUUUGGCCUUCUAUUGUACUUUCACUUUAUUGUUGAUGAUUGAGCAUCUAAAUCGAUGAUUAAUAUCAUGUAAGAUGUUUAAGGGUCAUAAACUUUCUAGAAAAAGAAUUUUACAAUUUUUCUUUAAUUAUUUUCUGGCUCAUCAAGUGGGCACAAUAUGAUUGGUCAAUAUUACCAACCUUUGGAAAAUAUUUUUUUUAAAAAAAAUCUUAAAUUCACAAUCCUGGUUGUAGGUUUUGAUCUAUAGUUGAGAGAAUUUUAUUUAUUAUCAAAAGCUCAAGUAAUUUGGAAUUUUUUUUUUUUAGAAAAAAGUAGCAUGCUACCGCUUCAUUCAACUAGAAAGUAAACUUAGCUACAAAUUGAGACAGCCAAGACCUCGAAGGGCAUUAAAAAAAAAAAAAAAAAAAAAAAAAGCACUAGGCCCAAGAGAUAAAGAAAAAAAGGAAAGACAAAAGGAAAAACAAUGCAAAUUAGCUACAUGAACAAUCCCACGAGUCUCUAAGCACUCUGAUCUUCAUUAACAAGCUCCCCAACGCCCGUCUUAAUUUCUGAAAAAUUCUUUUGUUAUGCUCCAACCAUAGAACCCACCACGUUGUAGCAAUGAUCAACAUUUCUUUAUCCCCCUGUGCAUCCCUUUUGGUACUGCUCUUUUUCUAUAGCUCCGUUACGGAUUGACGAUCAUUAAAGAGCAGUUUAUAAGAUAGCAAUCCUUUCAGUAAAGCUGUGGUGUAGGCGCAGGCAGAGAAGAGAUGAUCCAUAGUCUCCUUCUCAUCCAGACAUAAAACGCAACUCUCAUCUCCAAACCAAUCCGGCCCUUUUUAGAAGGUUGUCCGUGGUAAGCACCUUUUUUUUCAGCACCAGGCAGACGAAGAUCUUGACUUUAAGAGGGGAUCUGAUCUUCCAAAGACGUACCGAACUCUCAAUUUUGACUCCACCGUCUAGAAGAAAUUUAUAUACCGAUCUGACCGAGAAUGUUUUGGAUUGUGUCCACCUCCAUCUUACUUCGUCCUAUGUGUUACUUGGAGAAGUUGUAGCAAGUAACUCCUUGAAGUUCGAAAGUUGGUCUCUAUCUCUUGGGGACGAAGGGGUGAAUCCCGACAAAAUCUUAUGCCACUUCCACCCAUUCCUUCCCCAACCCUCCUUCACUCUUGAGUUUUUGGAAAUGAUCUUAUCAAAGAUACACGGAUAUAAAGUUCGCAGUGGAGCUCGUUCGCACUAGAUAUCAGUCCAGAACUUAACAAUUUGACCGUUCCCAAUAGUGUACGAGAUGCCACAUUUAAAAACCUCCCUGGUCGUUAGAACACUCUUCCACCAAAAAGAAUAGGGUUUGAAUGACCUACCUUCCGCAAGUAGUUUCCGUCGUAUAUAGUAAAGUCCGUCUAUUAGUCCACCCCAUAGAUGAUUCCUGUUAGAGAAGAACCUCCACCACCAUUUGGUCAAUAAGGCUACAUUCAUGGUCGCUAGGUCUUUUACCCCUAAACCGCCUCAUUUUACUUAUGCAAAUUGAUUUCCACUGAACUAGGCAGUGUCCGCCUAUAGUAAUUGUACUCCUCCGCCAGAAAAAAGCCCUUCUCAUGGCUUCUAGAUGAUGCAAGACCCACUUUGGUGCCUUGAAGAUCAAGAAGUAGUAAAGCGGUAGAUUCGAUAGCACUAAGUUCACGAGGACUAAUCUACCUCCUUGUGAUAGUAGUUUAGCUUGCCACUCUUCGAUCCGCCUCUCCAUUUUGCCGAUGAUAGGCCACCAGUCCUCUUUCUUUAGACGGUUCGUCGUUAAAGGUAAGCCGAGAUACUUAAUUGGGAAAGAUCCAAAUUUACACCCUAAUAGAAUCGCGAGUCUCCUACCGAGUCGUUCGUUCCGGCCCAUAUAGAAUAAUUCUAACUUCUGUCGAUUAAUUUUCAAUCCAGACGCUCACUCAAAAAUUUGCCACGAGAAGAGAAGAUUUUUCACUUGUCUUUUCUGUGCCCCACAGAAGAAGACGGUGUCAUCUGCAUAUUGGAUGAUAGCUACUUUAGUCUUAUCAUUGGGUCCUACGCCUCUCAACAGUUCAUUACGAACUGCUCUUUCUGUCAUUCUCGCUAAGCCUUCCGCCACCAACAAGAAGAGGUAAGAGGAUAACGGGUCCCCUGCCGCAAGCCCCUUCUAGUUUUUAUCCAUUUAGUUGGUGAUUCGUUAAUCAGCACCACCACCUUGGCAUUGGAGAUACAUUGUUCAAUCCAAAAGCACCACUUUUGGUUCACCCCGAGCUGUGUAAAGAUCUUUUUCAGAAAAUUCCAUCUCACUUUAUCAUAGGCCUUUUUCGAAGUAAGCUUUAAUACCUACACUUUCCGCACCUGUUUUUGAACACCAGUUUGUAAUUUCGUUGGCUGUAGCGAAAGAAUCGAGAAUGAACCGAUCUUUGAUAAAGGCUGACUGUGAUGGGGAAAUAAUGUCUUGCAUUGCCCCUGCUAAUCUAUUGGCAGGUACCUUAGAUAUGAUUUUCUGAACACUGUUAAUGAGGCUGAUAGGUCGGAAAUCAUUUGCCGUUGAAGAGCCCUCUUUCUUAGGAAUAAGACAGAUGUAGGAGUAAUCCAUUGGUCCAGAGUCGAAGUUGCAUAGAAACAAGUUAGUGAAGAUAUUGAACAAAUCCUCUUUGACCACCUCCCAGAAUUUCUGGAAAAUUCUCAUAUUGAACCCGUUCGGCCCCGGGGCUUUGUCACCACCGAGCUGAAAAGUGGCCUUCUUGAUCUCUUCUAAGGAGAACGACAUAAUCAAAUGGUCUAGGUUAGGUAAAGGUCUAGUCGUGAAUAGGCUACUCCAGUCCCCAGUCGUAGGAUUGUGUAUCGUAUCCGGGGUGAAGACUUCUUUGAAUUUAGAGUAAAAAUACUCCUUUUUAUCUUCUUCUCUGUGAAUGGUCCUACCAUCGUCUACAACCGUAUGGAUGAAAUUUUCAUGUCUCCUGCCAUUUGCUAGUGCGUGACAGAACUUGGUGUUACCAUCUCCCUCUUUCAGCCAUUGUUGUCUGGCUCUUGAUUUCCACAUAAUCUCUUCCUCGACAAUUCCAUCCCGAAGUUGUGCCUUGAGUAGCCGUCGCUGUUCAAUCUGUUCAUGGGAAAGCGAACAACUUUCUUCAAGAAGAUCCAGAUUGUGGAUCUCUUCAGCCUUUUCAAGGAUCUAGAAAUACUAUAAUAACUCAAGGAAUACUAUUCUUUAAUUCUCUUACGACAAUGUCUUAGCUUAGCGACAAAAGUAAGAACGCUAGACGCUUUAUUCGACACCUCCUUCCACCAAAUGGGCACAAGACUGCAAAAGUCCUGUCUCCUAAGCCGGACCUCUUCAAAUCGGAAGAAACAUAUACUCACCUUAUCACCAGUUGAUAGGAGGAUAGGACUGUGGUCAGAUGUGACUCUUGGUACAGCGACUACCUGAGUCAAAGGAAAGGCUUGAUCCCAUCGGUGAAAAUAAGGAAACGAUCAAGCUUCGCAAGGGUGGGACUAUAGUUUGCAUAUUGGACCAAGUAAAAUUUUGAUUGGCCAUAGGUAGGUCGAUCAGCUCCAAAGUAUUUAUCAGGUCGUUGAACAUAGUCGAAAGCCGUCUGCUCCAUGCUCGACCCUUACGCUCAAUCGGAUUUCUGAUUAGAUUGAAGUCCCCACAGAUCGCCCAAACCUCUCUGCACGCUCCCUUAAGCGCUUUUAGCUCAUUGCAGAAAUCCUCUUUCCCUUCUCACGAAGAAGGACCGUAUACAUUCGUUACGAGGAAAAUAGUCCCACUGUCCAAGUGCUUCAACCGAGUAGUAAGAGAGUAGUCGCGAACGAUAACCUCACAACAAGAAAAAAUUCUUGAACUCCAACAAGUAAUGAUUCCUCCAGCUGCUCCAUUUGAAUUAAUGAACUGACAUUUAUCAAAAUAAGAUCCAGCAAACGAUGAAAGAAAAGAGCGCGAGACAUCCUCCACUUUGAUUCUUGAAAACAUAACACAGACUUCUUAAACUUAGACACUACCGACUUCACAAGACAUCUUUUAUUUCGGUUGUUCAGACCUCUAACGUUCCAACAGCACAGCUAAAACAUGACACCCUAAGAGACCGCCGACUUCACAAUAGCGUCCAACUCACCAAAGACUACCUAAUGGGUAACGCACUGGAACUUCAGAAGGCUGCCAGCCUCCUCGUCGGUGAGGGAAAUUCAGCACUUGGCACUUUUGGUCUUUAUUUUAUUGAGCUUCCUUGUACCAGGACCCGCAAGUGUGGCUUUUUUCAUCGACCCCUUCUGCAACUUGCGCGAAGGGCUUGCGUAAAUUGAUACUUCUCCUUCCCUCAAGAGUGCUUUGCGUGAUAUAGCCCGCUCCAAAGAGAGAAUAUUAUCCCUGCCAGAGAAACGAGCGCUCUUUCUGGUGGUACUGGUGGACACCGUCGAGCUUGCUUUUCCUUGGUUCAAAUCCGCUUCGAAUCCAUCGGUAAGGGCCGUGAUGUGGUCAGCAUAUCCUAUUGUACAAGCCCCGUCAUCUGUCAGUAUAUUGUCGGGACCGUUGGUCGUCCAUUCCGCAAUGCAGUCCAUAGCCUAGUUAGUAAAUUCGCGAAUUAUUCGCGAAUCCGAAUUAAACGGUCAUUUUACAAAUUUUUUCCAAAGAAAAAGAAUUAUUCGCGAAUUUUUGGGCCAACCAAAUAAUGGCGUAUAAUUCCCGAAUAAUUGCCGAAUUAUUUGAAAAUAUGAAUAAAAAAUUAUAAUUUUUUUAAAAUAUAAAUUAUCUUAUAUUUUAUAUCUUAUAUUUUAUAUUUUAUAUCGAAUCCGUAUUUUAAGCCGAAUUUUUCGGCGAAUUUAAAAAUUAGAAAACGAAUUUUAUGCGUAUAAUAUCCGUACUGAAUUUUUAUCUAAUCCGAAUUAACUAACUAUGGUCCAGAGUAGUUCCCGCCUGUGGAUCAGUCCGCGCAGGGUUGCCGUGAGCGAAUAGGCCCAAAAACUGGAACUGUGACACUUCUUCAAGAGGUAGGCCGGUUCGUCCCCCCCCAAUCAGAAUAGACAUGGGUCUGGGUGGACUGUAAUCAAGGGGAUGUAGCCCGAAACAUAAGGCCCCCCAUUUGACGGGACUUUGACACAGCCCAUGGGAGUUAGGAGAACUGAUUGGGCGACAUCAGGCCUGAGCAAACUGAAGGCCCGCCAGUACCCAAGGUAGGAUUGAGCAUAGUCAGUAGGAUUGAGCAUAGUCAGGCCAUGGGUCGAGUACCCAAUUUUGGCCCGUAUAAUACUUCUCGAAUCUGCCUUAGCCUGCGAAGUGCGAAGACAUCACGGUCGAAACCCUUAGAUGAACCCGAGGACUCCCCUACUUCAAAGCUUCGAAGCAUGCUUCGUGAGGGUUUGCAAUUAAACAAGAAGAAACUGCCUCGCUUUUCUUUCUUCUUUUUUUUUUUUUUGAGAGAUAGACAGCACGCUACCUGCUUUGUUUACUUCAUUUAGAUAAAAAAACUUAGCUAGAAAUGUGAAUCAACUAGGAUUCGAACUUUGAUCUCGGGUACCAACCACCAAGCCCUUUGCCACUUGCUCUAGGGACGGUCGGUAAACUGUCUUGCUUUUACUUGUUAAAUUAUCAAUUUUGAGAUCAUUUGAUCACUAGGUAAUAAUAUCAACUAAAAUAAUAAUAAUAAUAAUAGUUUGUAAAGCAUGCAAAUAUUUUAGAUUAUAUUUAACAGGGUUUUUUUUGCAUAUAGUCCCCUGGCAAAUUUUUAUUUUAAAAAUAGCCCUCUUAAAAUUUAAUUUGCAAAAUGACCCUGGGCCUGCCACGCAGGCGCCACGUCAGCGCCACGCUAGUGGGGUCAGGGCCAAUGUGUUAAGUUAAACACGGUAAACCAUUCACCGUGUUUAGACACGGUUCACCGUGUUUCUUACGUAUAUUUUGUAUAUUGAAAAGAGGAAUAGGGAGUACCCACGGUUCACCGUGUUUCUUACGUAUAUAUAUAUAUAAUUUAUUCGGUUUUGGGUUCGGAUAAUAUUUCGGAUAUCCAUAUCUAUUGACAUCCCUACUCCCUAUUCCUCUUUUCAAGAUACAAAAUAUACAUACUAAACACAGUAAACCAUUCACCGUGUUUAGACACGGCGAAUGGUUGACCGUGUUUAACUUAACAUAUUGUCUUUGGCCCCGCCCGCGUGGCGCUGACGUGGCGCCUGUAUGGCAGGCCCAGGGCCAUUUUUGUAAAUUAAAUUUUGACAGGGCUAUUUUUAAAAUAAAAAUUUGUCAGGGGGUUAAAUGCAAAAAAAGCCCUAUUUAACAGUAUAAAAUGUUUAUUUAAAUGCCCUAUCAUUAAAAAAAAAUAAUAAAAAAGUAUGAAAGUCAUUUCAUGCCGAGAAAUUAAUAUUUCCGCUGAACUAUCGAAGUUAAUGUUUAUUUCGAAAAAAAACAUCAGUUGAUGUUAAAACUUGUAAUAAAAAACUUUUAUAAAUUGCAGCACAAAUCGAAGAAGUUGAAAUAGAACUUGUUAGAUUCUGGUCUGAUGAUAGGCAGUAUGAAUGUCGAGGCAACAAAAUUUAACGCAUAAGAAAUACGGGAAUUCAUGUGUCUAAAAUUAAGUUCUAUAUUUCCAUCACUAAUAGUUUCUUGCUCAAAUGACUUAAAAGUCCUGAUAAUAACUUAAUUGUGAACAAGAAGAGGGCUUCAAAGAAAACUCGAUUUAUAAUUGUUAAUUGUAGAAUAAUUUACAAUCACUCUUAAAACAAUUCCCUCUACUCUCAGUGACUAGCAGCAGAUUCAUUUGUUUUUCAACUCUUAUUUUAUUGAUUUCAUACUCCUCUAGAGGACUUUUCGAUAUCUUGCUGUACAAAUAUAUAUUGAGGUUAUAUAUAGGAGUUUAGUUAUGACUAGUUAUGAUGAAUCUUUUUAUCUCAAAAAUUUGUUUAACUGAUCCUGAAACAACUUAUUGCCUUUUAUUCUUGCAAACAACAAUUUUGUUAUUUGCGUUCCUUCUUUUUAACCGAGGAUUCUAACAAAUGUUUGUUUAGUGCAUUAAAGAGUUAUUCUGCAUGAGACAAUGACAUGGUCUUUACAAAAAUUGCUUGAAAUCGUACAAGCGUUAAAAAAAAAAUCAUAUUCGCGAGUGGUACAUUUGAAGAGACAUGGUAAUUUGAAAAGAUAUUUUAUGUCAGGCUCACUUCGGCGCAAGUGCCCAUGGCGGAGGCGGCGAUAAGCUCAUUAGUCCUGAAUAUCGGUGCGACCUUAGCUAGUGAAGCAACUAAAUCAACAACAUCACUAUUACUAACACGGAUAUCAGCAAUGAAAGAACUAGUCGAGGAUAUAAGUGACAUUAAGGGUGAGCUUGAGAGCAUGCUAUCCUUCCUACGGAUCGCAGAAAGAUUAAAACAGAAGGAUGAGAGCACAAAAACCUUCAUAAAACAAACAAGAGACUUGGCUUUCGACAUUGAGGAUAUUAUAGAUGAGUUCACAUACAAGCUCUGUGAAGAGCAAGGAGGGGUCCUGCCUAAAACAGUCAAGAGGUGCAGAAAUGUAACAACUUGGCGUCGCCUUAGCAAAAGGCUUAACAAAAUCAAAAUUAAGCUCCGAAACAUUAAGGAAAGAAGAGAGCGAUAUGAUACGAGCAGAAUGGAAAAUGAAGCAAGAUCUUUAAUAGCUGCUGGCAGUAGCAAGAGCCCCGCAGAUUUAGCACAUUUUGUCGAGGAGGAUGAUAUCGUGGGUAUUGACAAGUACAAGGACUUGUUGCUUGGAUGGUUAAAAGAUGAGGAUGAGCAACAACGACAGCCCAUGAUAAUCUCAGUGUUGGGGAUGGGUGGCCUAGGGAAGACAACUCUCGUAACUCAUGUGUACAAAACCAUCAAAGCUACCUUUGAUGUUUGUGCCUGGGUUGCUGUAUCUCAAAGUUAUGAGACUCGUGAUUUGCUUAGACAGAUCUUAAAAGAGUUCUGUAGGGAAGAUCGUGAGAAAAGAGAAGCACCUAACAACAUUAAUACCAUGGAUUAUAGA